GCUGGUUGAAGGAAUGUGAAUUCCUUUUGUAACAAUAGUGUUAAAUGUUACAGUACACUAUUAAACAAAAGAUGAUACUGCUGUGAGCCUGGGUAACAUCUGCAUCACAUGCUGGAGGUCUGGCUUUCCCUUCUGCAGCUCCCUGAUAAACUGCUCCAUCCCCUUCCCCACCUGAGUUGAUUUUAACUGCUGCCUGUGCAUUUCUGCAGAUAAACACCGAGCAUCAAGUGAUUUCAGCACAAUCUUGAACUGGAAUAAUGAAGCUUUCACAAACUGCAGGGGAUCCAGCUCUGCGGAAAGAUGUCUCUGAUCCUAAAUAUAAAGGUAAUAUCCAUAAGACUAAUUACCAAGGAUAUAAUAGAUAGAAUAGAUAGAUAGAUAGAUAGAUAGGUGAUAGAUGAAAUCUGAAGGUGGUAUCAAUGAGAAGUAAUACAAUGGAUUCAUAGACCGAAUAUUGAAGGUAAUAUCUGUAAGAUUAAAUACACAAUAGAUAGAUGGAUAGAUACAUUAAAUAAAUACAUACGAUAUAUUAGAUGAGAGAGAUGAUAGAUAGAUUAGAUAGCAUUAAAUAUGUAGAUAGAGAGAGCAUACCUUAAAUAUGUAGAUAGAUAGAUAGAUAGAUAGAAUCUACACAUGUAAUACAUUCUAUCACACUAGGAUGCUAGAUAGAUAGAUAGAUUGUAUUACAUGUGUAGAUACUAUCACACUAGGAUGAUAGAUAGAUAGAAUGAAUGUAUUACAUGUGUAGAUUCUAUCACAUUUGGAUGCUAGAAACAGUUAUUUUGUUAAUAUCUGUAAAAUAAGCAUGCUCACAACUACAAGCACUGAUUGAAAUAAUGCAGAAUUAUUUAAAAUCCUUUGCACAGUUGCUGUUACUGCAGUUUUUUUUAGAAUUCUUUUAGACAAUGAAUUAGAUCAAUGAGAUUCCCAAUAGAUAUCACUGAAUUAUCACAGAGCUAUUGCUAACAAUUACAGCACCUGUAAUCCCAGGUGUGAAAAAAAAUCAGGUAUGCAAAUAUCAUUUAUCUGUAGGUCUGAUUUAUAUACUUCAUAAUAGAUUUUCAAUUGAUUAUUUCUGUUUGUGUAUACAGAUUUAAAAUUCUAUGUGUAUAAUGGUUAUUUACAGAGGCUGGACAAUUAAACAUCCAGUAUAUUAAAAGCAAGCUUCUUAUGACAAGUAGGGUGACUCCUUAAGUAAUGGACGGUGAAUAGUGGGAUAUUGCAAUAGUUGUCAAAAAGAAACAUGCCAUGAAUGAAAGGCGACUGUACUCCACUCUCUGUGCUCAAGACUUUCAUGUGAAAGUUCAGUGACAUUUAAAUGUGAUGUCUGAAGAUACCACACAAUUUGGGAUCCCCAACUUCGUUGAACAAAUGUUGGCAAAUUUUCAGAUAUCAAGGCAUCAUUUGGCAUCCACCAAAUGUUAUUCGGAAAACAGUCUAAAAGAUUAUCCAUAAUACCUUAUUACUUUUUAUCUUUGCUCAAAGGUUGUCUGUCAAUCCUACUUAAACUUCAGCUACAUUGUAUAUUUGUUUUAUAAAUGGGAUCACACGUUUCAGAUUCACUGUUUCUUCCACCUCCUCUCCUCCCCCCCCCCACACACUUUUGUCACUGUACAUUUAUGGUGUUAAGUGGCUGCAAUAGCCAUCUUCUCCUACUGACACAGUUGAACCUUUUGCAGUUUUUGUCACUGUGUAGCGCAUGUUUUCAUUUGUAAAACUGUUCUCUUGACAUAUUAAAUAAUUUAGAUACUCUUGUGAUGGAUACGCUUGCAAUUUAGACAUCAGAUUUCUUUAUGCUACUUUGAAAGCUCACAAAUUAAAUGUUAUUUAUUACAGUACGCAAUAUUAAUUGGUUAUUAACCUAAUAUAACGUCGCACAUGCAUACAUACACCCAGUGGGUGUUUCCUUUAUGAUAGACAGACAGAUAGAUAGAUAGAGUUACUUUUUUGUUAGCCAAGUAAAUAGGCUUUAGAAUGUACACAAGGACAUAUAUAUAAAAACCCAAAGGUGAUAUAUACAAAUAGAGGGUGGUUAGGAACAAUACAACCUGAAUAUGGCUGAAAGUCACUCCCUGAGGAAGUCACUACAGUGACGAAACGCGUUGGAUACUACUUUUGGACUUUUUAUGCUAAUAUACAGCUGUUAUUAUAGUCCAUUUGUUAUUUUUAUUUAUUUUAUUUUUAAAUUUUGUGUACCUCCAUUUUGGGAUCUCUCUCUACUUUCAUCUGGAGACCCGGCCAUUACUUCAUUAUGGAGAUAUGCUGUCUAACUUCUGAUUUCUUGUAAGUGCAAUAUUUUGGAAUAAAUCUUGUUAUUUUUAUACAAUCUGCACUAUCUAUAUUUUUUCUUUUGUUCCUGAGCUGAAGGAAAAAGGGAUAUUUUAUUCCUGAGCUGAAGAAAAAGUGAUAUUGUCAGUCCUCGCCAUAUAUAUUCGACCUUCAAUGUGGAAAGUACCCCUGACAGGGUGACAGGCGUGAUUACUACUCCCUUCUUGUAAGUUCUCUACCACGUGCAAAUCCAUUUUUGCCUAACUUACUUCACUAUAUUUUGUAUUUUGCUAUUUUAUAGAUUCCACGUCCAUUUUCAGCCAAAUUCAGGUUGUAUUGUUCCUAACCACCCUCUAUUUGUAUAUAUCACCUUUGGGUUUUUAUAUAUACGUCCUUGUGUUUAUUCUUUAUAGUGUGUGUGUGAGGUACACUUCUUUGAGGGUGUAUUCUUUUAGUGUAUAAUAUAGUAAGCAUAUCCUUUUUUGUAGGCUUUAGAAUGUAUUGAAUCUUUAAAUAGCUAUUAAAGGACCACUAAAGUAACCCAGGCCACUUCAACUCAAUGAAGUGGUCUGGGUGCAGUGGACGUUUACUUUUAACCCUGCAAUGUAAAACAUUGCAGUUUUAAAGAAACUGCAAUGGUUAAAUCUAUAUCUAGUACUGAUUGAUCGAAUCUUGGUCAAAUGAUGCACAAGCACCAUUAUGCACAAGCACCAUUGAUUCAAUACAAUCUGUUGCAUUGCUGCCCUGAUCAGAAAGAUGCCAAGUACCCUGCUUGACUAAUAGCCUCUCCCUUCAUUGCGUAAAAAUAUUGCCUCUGACAAGUCCCAAUAGACCAUAUCCUUUUAUCCUUACAGUCUGAUAUAUAUAUAUAUCAUGGGAAAUAAAAUGCACACCCUCUUUGAAUUCUAUGGUUUUACAAAUCAGGACAUAAUAACAAUCAUCUAUUCCUUAGCAGAUUUAAAAAUUAGGUGAAUACAACCUCAGAUGAACAACACACAUGACAUAUUAUACCAUGUCAUGAUUUAUUUAAAAAACAAAAAAAUAAAAUGGAGAUGCCAUGUGUGAAUUUCUAAGUACACCUUAUGAUUCAGUAGAUUGUUGAACCACCUUUAGUAGCAAUAACUUGAAGUAAUCAUUUUCUGGAUGACACAACUUUAGCCAAGCUGUAACUAUUGAACAGAUGGCCCUACAUUUGACUCUAGAAUACGUUUGUAUACAGAGCAGUUAAUUGUCAACUUAAUGAGUGCAAGAUACCCAGGUCCUGUGGCUUUCAAGCCCAAAUUAUAACCCCUCCACCACCGUGUUUCACAGGUGGUAUGAGUUGUUUGUGCUGAUAUGCUGUGUUUGGUUUUGGCCAAACAUGCUGCUGUGCAUUAUGGCCAAACAUAGACAAAUAUAUCCACUUUGGUUUUGUCUGUCCAAAGAACAUUGUUCAAGAAGUCUUCUGGUUUAUUCAGAUGCAACUUUGCCAUCUUAAGCUGUACUGCCAUGUUCUUUUUAGAGACCCUUCCAAACAAACCAUACUUGUUUGGUCUUUUUCUUAUUUUACUGUCAUGAACGUUAAGAUUUAACAUGCCAGAGUCUGAGAUGGAACUUGGGCUUUUUGCAAUUUCUCUGAGAUGAUCUGACCUUUGUGUAAAUUUGCUGCAACGAUCACUCCUGGGGAGAUUUGCAACUGUCUUUAAAGGAGCACUAUAGGGUCAGGUACCCAAACAUGUAUUCCUGACCCUGUAGGGUUAAAACCACCAUUUAGCCACCCUGGUCCCCUCAUGCCUCCCUAAAUAUACUAAAAUCUUACUUGUAUUCCAGUCUGCAGAUGCUUACUUUGUCCCUGUUUCCUUUAGACCUGCCUACUGCCUGCUGAAAUCAGCAGAAGUGGUAGCCUGAUCCAAUCAAUCACAAUGCUUCCACAUAGGAUUGGCUGAGACUGACAAAGAGGCAGAUCAGGGGCAGAGCCAGCACAAUUCAAACACAGCCCUGGCCAAUCAGCAUCUCCUCAUAGAGAUGAAUGGAAUCAAUGAACCUCUAUGAGGAAAGUUCAGUGUCUGCAUGCAGAGGGAGGAGACACUGAAUGUUUGGAUGCAUUUUAGGCAGCCAUGACCCAGGAAGGAUCUCUAACAGCCAUCUGAGGAGUGACCAGAGAAGUUAACACUAGGCUGUAAUGUAAACACUGCAUUUUAUCUGAAAAGACAGUGUUUACAGUAAAAAGCCUGAAGCUAAUGAUUCUACUCACCAGAACAAAUUCAAUAAGCUGUAGUUGUUCUGGUGACUAUAGUGUCUAUAGUGUCUCUUCAAUGUUUUCUACUUUUGAAUAAUCAGUCUCACUGUAGAAUGAUGGACUUUAAAUGUUCCAGACCAACAAACUACUAAUCCGUUGGCUUUUAUAGAAGUGGUAACACUUGCUGAUGAUUAAUUAACCAAUGGCAUUUGAUUAGCAACACAUGUAUGCUACUUAGCCUCUUAGUUCCUAUGGAGGCAGUAAAGGUGUUAUUUGUUUUUCACACAAUCCUCUUCUAUUUUGGAUUUUUUUUUUUAAAUAAAUCAUGACACGGUGUAAUAUGUCACAUGUUGUUGUUCAUCUGAGGUUGUAUUUAACUAAUUUUAAGACAUGCUAAAGGAACAGAUGAUUGUUAUAAUGUCCUGAUAUGUAAAACCAUAUAAUUCAAAGACGGUAUACUUUCUUGUUCCCAGGACUUUAUAUAUAUAUAAUAUGAAUAUAAAAAAAAUACCGGCACUCUAGGCUUUGUUCAUCCGAUUUAUUUUUGGUGAAUUCAAAGAUGUCAACGUUUCAGCUCCCGGUCGGAGCUUUCAUCAGGACACAUGAAAUGGCAUACAUUAAAAUGACAAACAUAUACAGGACAUGUUAACCAAUACUCACUUACCAAAUCAGCUGUAUCACAUCACCCCUGAUGCUUGGCGUGCUCUCAGCGCAUAUGCGCAUGUCUGCCUUUUGUCAAACCACUCCCCCCGUCAAGGAGUAGCUGUGGCCAAUCGUUUACCUGCGGCUACGUCACAGUCCCAUGGCAACUGUUUGUUACAACCUCCAUCUUGGCCGCCACUGUGUAAACAACACCUGCCGGGAGAAUAUCUCCUUUUGCAGCGAUCAGCCAGCCCAGUCCAUGACGUGGGUUUGUUGACGUUGCUAUAGCAGCAGUUCCCCGCCGUGCCUAAGGGGAUAUGGAUACAGAUGUAUCCUUUACAAUAUUGUUACUAUAUUUCAAAAGAGAAGCAUUUCUUUCGCCUUCAUGAUCUCACAUAUAUAACUGUCCUUGCCUCACAGUCUGAAAGCAUAAUAAUAGAAACAUAAUAAUAAAUAGUGUUGUGAGCAUAAACAUACCUAUUGAUAUAUGUAUACAAGUGAUGCUAAAAAGUGGACCUUCUACUAAGGUGUGUUAUUUGUAAUUACCAAAAAGUGUUAUAUCAAUAAAAUAUAUAUAUAUUCUUUCCUGCACUGUAUAUAUCUGGUGCUACAUAUGUGACGUAGCCGCAGGUAAACGAUUGGCCACAGUUACUCCUUGACAGGGGAGUGGUUGGACGAAAGGCAGACAUGCGCAUAUGCGCUUAGAGCACGCCAAGCAUCAAGGAAGAUGUGAUACAGCUUCUUUGGUGAGUGAGUAUUGGUUAACUUGUCCUUUAUAUGUUUGUCAUUUUAAUGUAUGCCAUUUUAUGUGUUCUGAUGAAAGCUCCGACCGGGAGCUGAAACGUUGACAUCUUUGGAUUCACCAAAAAUAAAUCGGAUGAACAAAGCCUAGAGUGCCGGUAUUUUUUUGAUAUUCCUAUAUUGCUGUGACUUGGCACCAGGUAUUUAAUAUUUUUUUUAGUAGGAGUGCAAGAGGUUGAUCUGUUUUAUAUACACAUUUAUUUUUUAACUGUGUGUUUGAAAUGCCAAGCAUUAUUUGAGAGAUAAUAAUUGACACUUAAAUUGUCAAAACAAUAAAAAAUUCUGUGUUGUGACCUUUAGGGUGAAUGGUAACUAGUGCAAGCUGGUACUUUAAAUUAUGAGCUACCAGCAGCAGAACUAUUCCCAGGGCCCACAAGCUGAGGUGGCCAUUAAGGGUCACCAGAAGGACAUCUAUGAUUAGGGAACUAAGAUUACCAAUGAGCCGAGCGGGAGAGGGAUAGAGAAGAGCAUGGGUAAGGGGCUUGGACAAGAUUCCCAUCAGAUGCCAGAUGCAACUGGGCCCAAGGGAAGCCAACCUUCUGCAACCAAAAUGUAUGGAAGCCGGGAGGGUUUAGUAAUAUGUAAAUUGUGAUCUUUAUGUGUGUAUGCGUGCAUUUGUGUGUGUCAGCAUGUGUGUAUGUAUCUGUGUGUGUGGCAGACCUCUCAGCAUUCAAACCUACACCAAAACUACAUACAAACAUCCCCUGCAUUGGAAUACCAAAACUACAUAAAACAUAUGCCUGCAAAUGCCAACUCUACAUACAAAGGCUACACACAAGUACACCACUGCUAUUAAAUAGCUACAGUACAUACAAACACACAACUGCAUUCAAAUGCCAACACUACACACAAAUACACACCUGUGUAUGUGCACACCGACAUACUAUAUAUAAAAACAUACUUGCAUUCAAUUCAUACUGCUCAUAAAUACAGUCCUGUGAAGAUUGGCACAGAUCCCCUGCUUGCAAAGCAUCAUAGAGGAAGUUGUCUGAUAAAUGGGGAUCUACCUUUUGGCCAGUCACACCACAGAGAACCGAAAAAAAUUCUUGCAACAGGUUCCUCUUUACAUUAGUCCUGCCACUGUGAGCUACAUAUUGUUAGAGGGUAAUUAGCUGUUAUCUAUAUUAAACUUGUUACAGUGAGGAUUUAUAACCUAGUUUACAAUGAAUCACUGUAACAAACACAAUAAAUAUAAAGUCAUCUAAUUAAUCUAGGCUGCGCCAUGAGUGUGUGGUGGGUUGAGAAGUAUGUGUUUUCUUUAAAUAGACAUAAGCAGAGAGUGGGGAAGGGAAGGGUGACGUGUUAAGAGGUCUGCAAAAAAGUAUCUGUAUGUGAGAAAUGAAAGUUUGAUGAGUGCUUGUUAAGACACAUGAAAGUGAAGCUGGAGGUGAAACGAGUUUGUGCAUAGCAUUGAAAUGUGAGAAGAAAAAUGUGUGUGUGAGUACCUUUUUCAUGUGUUUGUAAGAAAUAUGGUAGUAGGCAACAGACUAAAGGUAGUAUUCUUAAAUGUUAUGUAUACUGAUAGGUAUUAAGUAACAGAUUAUAGAUAGGGCCUGCUACCAUGAAUAUAAUCAGACAUUAUGGAUUAUACGUAUCUAUAAUGAAUUAAUGCUACAGGUAAUAAACGAUUUGAAGACUUUCAACUUGACUACUUGUUAAAAAGAUGUAGUCCUAAUGAUUGGGAUUAUAAAAUAACGGAUUCGAUCAACAAUAAAAGCCCAGGCUCUCCGCGAUAGUGAAUAUUGUCAUUUGAUCCAUCUUUCUUUGGGUUGGCAAGUAAGCCACAUCAAAACAUGGAACUGGUAAUUGGGAAGAUGCACAAUGUGUUCUUGGGAAGAGAUGCAAAGGUGCAUGAGAUACUGGUUUAUAAAAUGUUUUGUGGUACGUCACAGCGGUUGGGAAGGUGCAGGUUUGUGUGAUGGUAAUUUGGAAUGGGUUCUAAAGUGUGUGUGUCAUAAGGCAGGGGCUUAAAAGCAUAGAAAUAGGAGUUAUUAUGGAUGUUAUUAUACUUAGUUGAAAUGGUGGGUACAAAGGCAUACAUAUGUACAUCUGGAAUAGCAUGUACAGAGGUAUACAAUGGUGUCUGUCUACUUGUGGCUGAAAUAGAUCUGUGUUUGAAAAGGAAACAAAUUACCAUGUUUAAUUAGUUUAAUCCAUUGUUAUAUUUGCACACUGAGAACUAGCCUCUCCAGAGAAAUACAGGAUGCAGUGCAUGCGCAGGAAAGAUCCAGGUAAGCUUUAAAUCAUGCAAAAAAUAUUUGACAGAUUAUACUGGGGCACCACUAGGAGCUUCUGGCACCAUAACCACUACAGUGAUAUGCAGUGGCUAUGGUACCUAUAGAGACUUUUAAAUAAAAAAGCCUUCCUAAAAGAAUUGGGGAUCCAGUUAUUAAUAACGUAACAAUUUGGAUAUAUAGAUCAUCCCUUUGAUCUUUCUCCCACUCUCCUAACUGCCUCUCUUCUGUCUCUAGAUCGACAUAUGCCAGAUAACAUUGCAUGUACAUAUUCUUCUCUUACAAAUGUAAGUGAAAAUCUUUACAUACAACAGAAUUGAAGGAGCUGUUAUGUUGCAGUUCACGCCUGAGCUUUUGCCAAAUGUGCAGCUCUCUAAUUAGGCUGAAAGCUAUGGAGAGCCAGUGGUUCUGCAUUGCUGGAAACCGCAGCAUGUAACAGAUAUAGAAUCUCACCUAUCACCAUGGCAACAACCCCCAUUCAUUGCAUAUGACAACACAGACAGUCCCAACGUAUUGACAUUAUAGGGCUAUAAGAUUUAAUAAACAAAGCUUUUGUACUCCGAACUGGUAACAAUGAGCAAUAUAAAUCUUGAUCAACAAUCCAAGUUGAAUACACAAAGCAUACUGCGUGUAAAUGAAUAUAUAUUUUUUUGAAGGUCAUAACGGAGAUUUUCAUAAAAGGUUUGCUAUUUUUAGGUUUUUGGCUUCAAGAUGCUCUACUGGGUUUUCCCAAGCAAAUCAUCAGCAAAAAUCGUUGCAGUGAUAUCCCUGGUGAGUCUACAUACGAAGAGACUAACUAUAUAUGUGUUCACAGAAAAAUACAGAUGAGAGCUUGCACAACGUGCUAUUAUGAGGCAGAGAAUUAUGGACAAUUAUUGCACAGUUUUUUUUGUUUGUUUUUUUAUAUUGUAAUAUAAAGUGAAUUUCUAGCCUGAACUGUGCCAUUUUAUUCUACUAACAGGUGGAGUGCCAGCGGGAUGCUUUGCUCUGCUGUCUGAGUAUUACGAUCACAGUGGUAGUGCAAUAGAAUUAGUGUAUAUUGUGUAUGGUGCAUUCAAAACAAGUCUAAUUCAAAUAAUUAUUCAAUAUACAACAAAUUAUUCAGGGGCAUAGACUCUGGCAUUUUGAUUGUGAUCUAACAACAUAUUUCAACAUGACCAGAUACACAGGAAGUGUAAAAGGUUACUUUAUUGUCACAUUUGCCAGUUUACACAAGCCAACUUGUUAAAGGCUCUUGUCUAAGCAGAAAUGUUCCUUAUUUGGCAAUAGAUUUCUCUGUUGCACUUCAAGUGUACCCAAUAUUGUCUAUAUACCAUUGUUAAGAAACUUGAUUGUUCCAGAUUCUGGAGCACCGGGAGUGUGAUGAGUACCUUCGCUUUAUUGUUUUAAAAUCAUUUUACAAUUUAAUAACUUAACAAUUUGGAUAUAUUUCUCUUUCCAUGAUCUUUCUCUCACUCUCUUAACUGCCUCUCUUCUAUGUCUGACUGUCAGGAAUAUUUGAUUGUAAACUAAUAGUAACGUUUACCGGACCUUAUAAUGGCCGGACUAACGUCACAAGAACAGAGAAUAGUGGAAACGAGCCAAGGUCAGGGAUGCCAGAAAUCAGGAACAACGAGAGUACAAGAGCCAAGAUCAAAGGAAUACAGAAGGUAAAAUAGUCAAACAAUGCCAAAAAGUAAAAAUACAAGAGAACCAUACACAAAAAACGCGCUAUUUGGACUAUGAAGAACUACAACAGGGCAAUGAGACUUUCAUUGGACUCCACCUAAAUUCGGUGUUCCUUGAUUUGUAGCCACGGUUGAAUUCUAACGUUUUGGUGGGCCGUGAUGUCAUUUGCGUUGUGAUGUCGGAAUGCAUGCGCCGCGUCAUUAAAAGGGGCGGGGUUAUCGGGGGCCAGCGUGAGAAUCGCUGGGAACAAGUGGAGAGCUGUUGGAUAUGUCCCCAAUCCCCCAAAUGAUGGUCCAUUCAAAUAGGAGCUCUUCUGGACCUAUCUUGGGUGCUCUGACUGUAUCUCAAUCUCUCAUCAGUACGUGAUAUAAACAUUAUCAAUUCUCUGGAAGAUCUCUAGUUGCUAUUUCAUCUAAAAUAGUAUAUGAUAGACUGUCAAGGAACACAUCUACAAAGGCUUGAUUGUUCCAAGCCAACUCAGAUGCUAGAGAUCUGAACGCAAGGGCAUAUUCUACCAAAGUUCUGGUUUCUUGCUUAAGACUAAGAAGAGACCUGGCCACAUUGGCCUUCCAGAAAUCAGGAACAUCAAAAGUAUGCCUAAAUGCUUCAUCAAAUGCGGCAUAGUUGUACACCAGCAGGUUGUCAUUUUCCCAGAGGGAAUUAGUCAAUGUCAAUGCUCUACCCACUAAAAGAGUUAUAAUGAAACCCACUUUGGCUCUAUCUAUAGGAUAAGAACGUGGCUGAAGUUCAAAGUUAAUGCUGAUUUGGUUUAAAAAAAACCACAGCAAGCUUCAAGUGCACCACCAUAAUGUAAAGGUGGUUUGACAUGAGACGAGGUCCCAAGUAGCUACCUCAAGUCCCACAGGCUGUGGGGUAACUGAGGGAGUACGGCUUUCAUCGUGUACGUGGGUUAGACCGAUUUAUCAAGGUCUGUAAAGCAAUAGCUAUCUGAUCCAUGCGAUGAUCCAUUUCUUUGAAACAGGUAUCGUAUGGACCUGCAUGGGUACUUACACCUGCCGGAACCAUAUGGCCCUGUUGUCAUGUCAGGAAUAUUUGGGGAUCCUACACACAGAGUGUAAAAGAAUAGUAACUUAUACCGGACCUUAGAAUGACUGGACUAACGUCACAAGGACAGAGAAUAGUGGAAACGAGCCAAGGUCAGGGAUGCCAGAAAUCAGGAACAUCAAGAGUACAAGAGCCAAGGUCUAAGGAAUACAGAAGGUAGAAUAGUCAAACAAUGCCAAAAAGUAAAAAUCCGAGAGAACCAUACAAAGAAAAUGCGCUAUUGGGACUAUGAAAAACAACAGGGCAAUGAGACUUUCCCUGGACUCCCCUUAAAUACUGUGAUCCUUGAUUUGAAUUCAAAUGUUUUGGUGUGCCCUAGCAUCAUUUGCGCCGCAUCAAAAAAAGGGGCAGGGCUUUCGUGGCUGGUGUGAGAACAGCUGGGAAUAAGUGGAAAGCUGUUGGAUAUGUCCCCAAUGAUGGUGCCAGCUUGUGGUAUAGCCCGAGCCAACACACAAGGUACCCUGACACUGACUGGUUGUCCAUUUCCUGAAACUCUUUUUCAAAAACUGUCGUCCUUCAAUCCCUUGAAAACAAUCCCUCUUGGUUAACUCUCUGCAGAUCAACCGUAUGACCAUUAACUUGACCACUCAACUCUUAAGCUCCUUGCCUUGAUAUUAGUUUUGACUGUGGGCUUACUUUUAUAUCUUAAAGUCCUAAAAUUUACAUCUCUGAAAUAUAUCUCUCAUGCUUCUUUUGAAUACAUAAUUUCCUGCCUUGACUAAUGUAACACAUUCUGAAUUGGUCUCUCCAAGCCCGUACGUUACCAUUACAGUCUCUAAUGAAUGUACCAACCAGGAUAUUAUUAGUUUCUUGCCACUCCUCAAUCAUGUGUUUACGAAUCCAUCCUUGGAUUCAGGAUCCAAUUAAAAAUACUAGCACUAACCUAUAAUCUUAGUGACACCAACAAGAGGUGUCAUAGAAAAGUCUGUGUUUAAAAUCUUUACACCAGAACCACUCCAUUAAUCUGUAUUUGUUCAAAUUAUUGUAGUGUUCCUUUAAGUUACUGCCAUCCCAUACAUGCUUUUCAUGCACAGUACAACAUAUAGGUAAUAUAACCUGGAGGUAAAAAGAUCGAGUAAGGUAAAAAGCAAAUCAUAUGUUUACUGUUAAAAUGUCAGGUGUAGCCAACCACUUUCUGUAAUACGAUCCUAGCUACUAUAAAAAAGCAUAGUAAUACUACAGGAGAGACUCUGCAGACAAUGCCGCAGGGUUUGAAUACUAUGCUGCUACCUAUUUUGUACAGAACUGAUUUAUCAUCAUUUAGUUCUAGUCAAUGUUGUGAAUGUAAAAAAAAGUAGUUAUGUAAGUUGUAUUAAUAAAUAGAUCAUCUAAAAUUGAAAGUUAAGAGACUAAAUGACAACCUUUAACAGCAUUAAAAAUGCAUAUUUAUUUAUUUUUUAUUUCAUUUUUUUUAAAACAAUGUUAAUGUAGACCUUUAAAAAGGAACAUUCCAAGCAGGGUAAGUAGACAAACCAUUUGCAAAUAACUUGACAACUUAUCAGAGAUCUGCUGGGCGCUGGUCACAGCCUCUAGGAGAACCAGAAGCUCCUGCAUGUAGUUUCUAUUAGCUCCCCUGAACUAAGCUCUGCAGUGACUGAGAGUGCCUUCCGUCAAUUAACUAAGCUCUGCAUGGCCAAACUAUCAGUACAGGGUGCUCCUUGCUCUCCUGGAGGAGGUAACCAGCACCCGAUGUACUGGAAGUAAAUGCGUUGCAGUGAUUAAUGUGCUUGAAGUGUUCUUUUAAGAUUGUUUGACAGAUAGAGUUCAAGUAGGAGGAUGCUAUGCAUAAAUAUAAAUAACAGAAAAAAGAAUGGGCAAUAUAAAAAUUGUGCUGCAAACUUAUCAUACGUUUCCAUAUAGAGUCAUAGUAUAUUAUUAUAAAAUGUGAGAAAGCAAUUAAAAUGACUGCAGUGAUAUUAUUAAAACUUUAAUUAGGAAUCUGUUUGAAGAAAAGCUUGAAAGGCUUCAUUUGAUUGUCUUUUUGCCAUCUAAAUAAUCAUGUGGAAUAAAAAGUCUGUCUUUCUCUCACCAGUGCUCUCAAACCCCUCAAGUGUUCCUGGUAGAUAUACAAUGAAUUUGGAACGUAUUCACAAAAUUGUGUGUUGGGCACCUCAAAGCUAUUCAGAUAUUAUCAGACACGCCUUGAAAUAAACAGUGGAGUAAUUAGCAAUAUGUCUGAUACAUUGCACCAUCCCACAAUAUUUGUUUAACCCCUUCACAUCGCCACUUGUGUAUACACGAUUGCCAGUGUACACAUUCAUACACGGCAACAUGUAUGUCCAGAAAGUCACAGCUCAGCAGCAAUAAAAGCCACCAACCUGUGAUCUCCAUAUUACUGAUCACAGUAAUAGAGUAACAGAGAAACCCUCUCUGUGUUCCGGUCUGUCCUCUGGUGUUCUGUUAGAUUCUGUUCCCUUACAGAAAGUGUUUCCCUUCACAGCUCAGGAUCAAGGUUCUGCAAGGUAAGUAGCUAGGUGAUUCACUACAGCACUGGUACAUUAGAUAUUUAGGGUUAAGAUGAGGGUUAAAAUUAGGGUUAGGAACUAAUUUAGUCUCUCAUAAUUCUUAUUCAAACGGUAACCCUAGAAGUGAGGUUUAAAUUAAAUUAGCCCUAGACAUAAUUGUAUAUUUAUUUAUUUCCCUAAGUGUCAGUAAUCUGUAAAAAAACAAACAAAAAAAACCUAUAAUUCUAACUCUAAUUUUAAGCCUCACCUUAACCCUAAAUGUCCCAUGUUUCAGUGCUGCAGUGAAGCACCUAACUAUAAGCUAAGUAAGUAACUAACUUUACUAACCUUGCAGGCCAAGCAGCCUUUUCAGACACAGAAAACCUAAGGGAGGAUGAGUUCUGAUGAUUGGCGAGCUUUGAGGGGAAGCAGAUUCCGAUAAGAAACUGAAUCUGACAAAACACGGUCAGUCCGAGCUGCAGCAACACUUUAGAGUAGGGGGAAAGCAGCCAGCAGCUCGUUCUACCCUGUAUGUAGAGCAGGGGAUGAAAUAUGACAGCUCAUCCUCCCUUCUCCAUGUAAAGCACAGCAGGGGAGCAGCUGUUGACAGACACUGGAGAGACAGCCACCCUCCCACAGAGCAAAUGGAGGGUGGCUGAAGGGGUGAGUGGAGGGAGGUAAGCACCUCAGCUCAUCUAAAAAUAAAACAAGCAGCAAUGUAUGGGAAGGCUGCACAGGGAAAUACAGCCUCCUGACAAACUCUAACCUCCCUCAGACACACACUCAUGUUGUCACAUAGAGUGUGUGUGUGCACGUGUGUAAUUGUGUGUCCAAAGUGGCAACAGGGCUGAAAUGUGAGGGUGAUAUGGUAAUAUCAUGGUUGUCACGGUUUUCAGGUUAACCUAAAUACGCACACAGGUUACAAACACACAGAAUUGCAAUACCAGUCCUUAGAAUGGCUGGGCUAUGCAAAGAGAUAGACUAGUCAGAGUACAAGCCAAGGUCAAGGAUAACAGAGAGAUAGACGGAAUAUGAAAGGACAAGCCAAGGUCAAGGAUCAAAGAAGACAGAGUAAAUGUGAGACAAGCAAAAGUUUGGUAACCAAAUAAACAGACACAGUAUAAGUGCUCUUGGGCUGUCAAAAACCACAACAGGGCACUGAGAUAAGGGGGAGAUUUGCUUAUAUAUGCAUAGGGUGCUUCUGGUUGGCUAAUUUCCAUUUAGUAUUGAUUACAAAACGUGGAAGGUGUUUAGUCCUUCCAGUGUGAUCUCUGACAUCAUUAGUGUGCGCCGGGUCAUGUAACCGAGUCGGGUGCACAUAUAAGGACGCUGCACACAAGCGAGCAUGCAGCGUCAGAAAUAUUGCCGUCCGGAAGUGCAGAGGCAGGAACAGCCGCAAGUAGCAGACAGGGACCAGAGGACACAGCUCGUGGUGAUGGGGCAAGUAAAGUCGCGAGCAGCGUGGAGGCAGGGGCCUGACAAUGCUAAUGUAGCAAUAUAUACAUAGGGAAUAUAUACACUGCCUGGCUAAAAAAAAAGUCGCCACCUGGAUUUAACUAAGCAAAGGUAAGAGCCUCCUAUUGGAUAGUUACUGUAUGAGCGAUUAUCUUUCAGCAGGCAACAAGUUAUUUAACACCAACUGAUGCAAUGAGUAGCUUCUCAUUUCUUAAACAACCAUGUCAAAAGACACAUCCCGUGGUCGUGGAAAACAUGUUAGUCUGUUUGAGAAGGGUAAAUAUUGGCAUGCAUCAAGCAGAGAAAAUAUCUGAGGAGAUUGCAGAAACUACUAAAAUUGGGUUAAGAAUUGUCCAACACAUUAUUAAAAACUGGAAGGAUAGUGGGGAACCAUCGUGAUGGGCGCAUUAGGGUAAGAGGAGGGGCAUAUGAAGUGAUGCACUCAUCAUGCCUAGUGCCUACUGUACAAGCUUUUGGGGGCAGAGCUAUGAUCUGGGGUUGCUACAGUUGGUCAGGUCUAGGUUCAGCAACAUUAUGUACCCAACAAAUAAGGUCAGCUGACUACCUGAAUAUACUGAAUGACCAGGUUAUUCCAUCAAUGGAUUUUUUCUUCCCUGAAUAUGCACAGGCAUAUUCCAAGAUGGCAAUGCCAGGAUUCAUUGGGCUAAAUUUGUGAAAGAGUGGUUCUUGGAGCAUGAGAUAUUAUUUUAACACAUGGUUUGGCCACCACAGAGUCCAGACCUUAACCCCAUUGAGACUCUUUGGGAUGUGCUGAAGAAGGCUUUGCGCAGUGGUCCGACUCUCCCAUCAACAAUACAAGAUCUUGGUGAAAAAUAAAUGCAACACUGGAUGGAAAUAAAUCUUGUGACAUUGCAGAAGCUUAUCGAAACAAUGCCACAGUGAAUGCGUACCAUAAUCAAAGCUAAAGGCGUUACAACAAAAUAGAGUGUGUGACCAAUUUUUUUUGUGGCAACUUUUUUUUGGGCCAAGCAGUGUUUAUAUAUAUACGCACACACACACAUACACAACUGAGUGCAUAUUGUACAAUGUAUAAAUGAGAGGCUUAUAGCACAUGUGAGACAAACAGUCUAAGUUACAUAUUGAGAAACGUUUUUUAUUUACAACUUUGUUUUUCGUUCUAUAACCUCAUUAAUUGGUAAACAAUUUUUUUUAAAGUUUUUUUUUUCCAUACAGACAAAAUGUUGUCUUUUGUUUCCAUUAAAUAAUGCUCAUAGUGAAAUGAAAAACACAUUUAAGGGACACUAAAGUCACCCAGACCACAUCAGGUCAUUGAAGUGGUCUGGGUACAGUGUCACUAUUGCCUUUAGUCUUGCAAUAUAAAACAUUGCAUUUUAAGAGAAACUGCUAUGUUUACAUUGCAGCAUGAAGACUGUCUCUAGUGGCUGUUUACCACACAUCCGCCUUGCUAGGAGACUUUUGAUCGCCUAACUACAGCUGGAUGUCCUUACGCUCUGCAUGAGGACAUCCAGUGUCAGUGAAUACUCCAUAGGAAAGCAUUGACUCAAUGAUUUCCUAUGGGUAGGGCCUAAUGCACUUGCAGCGCAUGCACAUUAGGUCACCCUAUCCCACCAUCGGAUUACGUUGAGGAGGCGGAGCACCAACAUAGCACCAGGGGACAUCUGCGAUGGAAUCCGGUAAGUAAAUAAAGGGUUUUAGCCCUUUAUUGGUCGGGUGCUGCAAGGAAGGGUAGGUGGGACCAGGGGAGUUAUACUGUUAGGAAUACAGGUUUGUAUUCCUAACAGUAUAGUAUUCCUUUAGGCAUUUCUUUCCAGCACACCCAAAAUACUAGGAUUAUGUGGUUAAAACACAUAUAAAAUGAGAAACAUAAAAUGAGACUUUAUUCUUGCUUAGCAGAGUAACACAGACAUAAAGCAAACUGCUGAAAACAGUUCAAUAGAAAAUUAGUCUAAUUUCUGUUCUUAAAAACAAAGUUUUUACAGUAAUUUAGACAAAUAAGCUGCAAUAUAAAAAAGUUCUUCUAAGAUAUCUUUACACCCUACAGUCACUUUUAUUUGUCUGCAUAAAAUGGCAAACAAAUGUUGGUAUUUUAAGCUGCACAGGUGACAAUGACGCAGAUAUAUAUAUAUAUAUAUAAAAAAAAAUUACAUCUCCUAAUUGCUGAUGGAGAAAUGCAUAUAAAAUUCUUUCAUGUCCUUCAUUCUGUGCAGAACGUAUAUGCAGCAGUUACACACUAAUAUUACAAGCCCUGCAGGUGUUAGUAGCUUGUGUAUCAUAUGAGAAGCUACAAUGCAAUUAUUACAAGUGGGAGUAGACACAUUAGAGUUUAGGUAAUUACUAACUGCAUUGUGAUGCACAUGCUAUCCAACUCUUGGCCUUUUGUCUUUCUAAAAUUCUGUACAUUGUUUACUGAUACUAGGUAGCAGUAGUUAGGUCCCCUUAGCUGCACAGAGUCAUUUGAAUUUACUUUUUAGACACUGUAGUAAUUCUUCACUCAUUUUUUCCCAAUGAACAGGAGAACACACUUUGUCAUUUUGGAUAUGUUGACCUAAAAUGUGUAGUUUCCUCAAUUCCCCAUAAUUUCUAGUUUAGUAAAUACACUUCUAGGCAUAUCUUUAUACAUUUAAUCCAGUAGUAUAUAGGAGGAGGUUAUCGUUCUAUAGAGAAAAUGUAAAGUCUUUGUAUUGUCUGUGGUAUUUUGAAAUUAUUACAUUUUUGGUUGCUGUUGAUGAGUUUCCAAUUUGAAACCUCAUUAUCAGAAACAGUCCUGUUUUUUUUAGGAUUGCCUAGUUAUAUUGGGGGAGAGGGGGACUGUAAAUUUAAUCCACACACAACUGCCUAGAAUGUUCUGUCCCCUCCUAAGAUAUUAUAUCUGCUCAACUCUUAUCCUCACAUUUACAAGCAACUUCCUAGAAUGUAAUGUCCCCUCCCUAGAUGUUAUAUCUGCUCAACUCUUGUCCGUCACAUUUAUUAAAAGAGUUAAGAAAAGAGUGCCAAGAAGAAUGUAUUAUUGUCAAAACACAGUUUGAAUGCACAGGUAUUUGGAGCUGUGUACAAUAAAAAUUAAGUUUACACUUGCAGAUCUAAAAAGAUUGUUUAUUUCAUUACAUCCAUUUGUGUCAAAUAUAUUUAUCAGAAGAUUUCUUAAAUGAGUAAAAACUAAUUUAAGCAGCACUAAGUGUAAAAGGGACACUACACUCAGAACACUUCAAUUAGGUGAAGUGGUCUGGGUGCCUAACAUAUGGAGAUUUUUUUUGACUAGGUACGGAAUAUGACAUCUUUUAAAUGAGCUCUAUUUGCCAUCUCGCAAAUUCGGGCUCUUUCAAUUGCAUUGUUCAUAGCAUUAGUUAAAGAGAUCCUAUAGUGUCAGGAAAACAAACUUGUUUUCCUGGCACUAUAGGCUCUUGGAGUGCCCCCUCCCUUGGGGUGCCGAAGGGGUUAAUCCAGCGCCAGGCUCCCUCGGUGCUGGUGACCUAUCCUCCCCGCGCCAACCAGAGACACGUACGCAUUCAAACACGUGCUUUCCUAAGGGGAUCUUUUUUGACACUCAGUGUAAAUCGCGGAAGCGCCUCUAGUGGCUGUCAGGGACACAGCCACUAGAGGCUUGUUUAACCCUGCAGUGUAAACAUAGCAGUGUUCCUGAAACUGCUAUGUUUUCAGCUACAAGGUUAAAACUAGGGGGGCAUUGAGCUGAAGUGGUCUGGGUGCCUAUAGUGGUUCUUUAGUGGUUCUUUAUGCCCAUUGAAGUGGUCUGGGUGCCAACUCCCACUACAUUUAACCCUGCAAUUGUAAUUGUGACAAACUGCCAUUUGCCACUGGGCAUUGGAGAGGCCUGUUUGCCAGCCUCCUGCCCUGCGACUAUGGCCCUGGGAUGUAUUGCCCUUUAAGGAACUGAUUUGGGCAUACUGUAUUUUAUUAUGCUGCUGACCCUUUAAGAACCAUCUGGGGACAUACUGUGGAGUUACUGGGUGGCCACCAUUUCAUGUAUCAGAGGCACAUGGUGAAAAUAAUGGAUGAAGCACAUGGUGAGAACAAUGGAUGGCGGCCAUUUUAAAUCACAGACACUGUUUUGACUUUUCUACACUGUGCCAUCUCGCCGGUAUUUGGUGCACAAAGACAUCGUUCAGUAGUUUUAAACUACAGAACAGGGGACACAUUUAACAGUAAUUAUUUUUCAUAUAGCCUGUAUAUGUUCUGCGGAAUCUACAUUAAACCGUAUCUUCCAAACUUCUGAACGGAUCUGCGUGAAUUUUGGAUAUGUGGUUCACCCAGAUCUCCCGGUUCCGAAACGCCCAGCCGUUGCAUCCCCUCACCUCACUUCACCCCACUUAGCACUAUGCACCCGAGGGGAUUCUAAUUUAUUUUUUGUUUUUCACUUUUUAUUGUUAUUUUUUGGCAAUGAGUAGCUUUAUUUAGUAUAUAGCUUAAGCAGUAUCCAGUACUAUAGUGUAGACGGAUGCAGACACCGAUAUCAAGCAUAGACUUAGCGCAGAACACCCAUGAAGGUGUUUCAAGGAGUUUAUAGGGAACUAGUCUAGCGGUGUCCAUUAUAGCAGCUCUGUUGAACUAGAGUAUAUUUAGCCUAUUGGACUUUUAGAUCGCUAAUUGACCAGUUUCCCUUCUCCUACUACUCUGCGUUAGGAGUUGCUGCCUCCUUUGAUGAUUUGGGAUUGCUAUAUACCUACCCCCUCUUACUAGUGGAUAAAAGUGAGGGGAUUUAGUUUGCAUCCCACUUAGUUACUGGAUAUAGAUUUUUUUAGUUAUCUUGGGGCAUUAUUUCGUUAAUAAAGAUUUUUUUUUUCCUCUUAUUUAUUAGUUUUUGCCACAAGAUAUUCAUAGAUCUAUUUAGAUCUGGAUCGUUUACUGCUUAUUUGUCUAUAUACUACUUCAGUUAUUUCCAAGAGAUAUUGUAUUUUUGGUGUAUCCAUCAUUUAUCAGCAAUUGGAGGGACCUCCCUGUGGGAGCCCUCCAUAUUUAGUCUUUCCUAUUAUCUAUAUAUUAUUUCUGGGUACAAGCCCACAUUGAGGUGGAGCUGAUACCACCGUCCUGACCCAUCUUUUUCCUGCCCCUGUUCCCAGUGUUUUUUUGCUGGUCAGGACAGUAGGAAAAUUAAUUUUCUCUUUAACCAAUAAAUAUAAGCCUAAUUUUAUUGAUAAUUUAUAUUUUUAUUUCUUUGAGUGGUUGUUGCGUAGUCAGGGCCCCAGUGCAUUGGUUUGCCCAGUGGACUAUUAUGCUGUUACGAUGGCCCUGGUCUAGGGUAUGUGUGUGCUCUGAUGAUCAUGCUCCUACAAAAUGUAAAUGAAAAGACACUCAUUUGAGUACCAGGAAGGGGAUGAGCUGUAACAGCCACUUCUGGCCAAGAAGAGAUUAAAAACUUAUGUAUUUCUCUGUUUUGUUUUGGGUUUUUUUUGCGAUUUUUGUAUCGCUAAUGGGUGUCCAAUUUUUAUAUUUUCAAAAUCUGGUCACCCUAGACACAUGGAAGGUUGAGAGGGGGCAUAGGGACACAUGGAGGACUGGGAGAGAGGGCUAAUGGGACACAUGUGGGGGCUAGUGGAUUAUAUGCAAAUGCACGUCUGCGUCUGCUUACAAUAAAUCUGCUCUGCUUUAUUUUGAAGCCCUAUAAGUGCUUUCUUUCAUGUUUGAGUGCUAGUUUUCAGGUUUUUUCCUGCUUCCAUAUCUGCGCACUAUGCUGGCGCACUAUGCUGGCGCGAUGAUUUACGGGGCUGGUAUGGAAUUUUUUUCCAGGGCUGCUUUUCAUUCCAAGUCCGGCCCUGCAUGUCGCUGCCUCUGGUAAGUGAGAGAAGGGGCUUUCACCCCUUCAGCAACCAGGGAUUGGGAGAUGGGAGGGAGAGGGGACCUGCAGUGCCAGUAAAACAAAUUGUUUUCCUGGCACUGGAGAGUCCCUUUAAUGUUUGAGGCUCUAGCUCUAGAAUUUCUGCAUGGAUAUUUUUCUUGACCUGCUCAAGUGUACACAGUUUGUUCACAUACACUCACUCCUUCAGAUAUCCCCACAGGAAGUAAUGAAGAGCUUAAAGGUCGGACGAACAUGGCGGUCAAUUAAUGUGGGAAUUUAUUGAAAUGAUCCUCUCGCUGAACAGUUGUCUCAGGAGGUUUGAACUACUAACAAUUAAGUUACUUUUCUGUCAAAUCAUAUUCUGAAUUUUAGUCCACCCUGUAGAUGUUAAAGGAACACUACAGAGUCAGGAACACAAACAUGUAUUCCUGACACUAUAGUGCUAAACUCACCAUUUAGGUGGCUUGCCCCCACUUAGCCACCUUAAAAAGUAAUAAAACUCACCUUAUUUCCAGCGCUGCAUGGGUCUGUGGGAGCUGUCCAUGCCCCCGAUCCGCCUCCUUGAUGACAUCAUCAGAAUUGCCAACUUUUGAAUUGGCUAAAAUCAGCAAGGAAGCAGGAUGGGGCAGGGCCAAACGUCAUUUUGGCCAAUCAGCACCUCUGCAUAGAGAUGCAUUGAAUCGAGUGGCCACUUGGAGGUGUCCCAAGGCAGUGUUUGCAUGAAAAUGCCUGAAGGCAAUGAUUUUACUCAAUAGAACAACUACAUUAAGCUGUAGUUGUUCUGGUGACUAUUGUGUCCCUUUAAGGCACAGUUUGUCAUGCUUAUAUGAUAUGAGAUCUUCCGGCGGCAUCUGAAGUGUGGUGCUCUCAUUUGUCUCUCUAUACAUUUUGGUUCUGAAUUUAUGUCACUCCAUUUAUUAUGCUGUUUACUUUCCUAAAUAUCUGCGCCUCCCUCAGUGCGCAGUUUUUAGAUGCGUAUCACAUUUUUUUUUUCCAUAUAUAGUUUUUAUUUAGUUGAACAGGGUAGGUACAUACAUUUCGUCCAGUUGACAGUGUUAGAUACAUAAAUCAUUACAUUGAAGUGUUUCACUACANNNNNNNNNNNNNNNNNNNNNNNNNNNNNNNNNNNNNNNNNNNNNNNNNNNNNNNNNNNNNNNNNNNNNNNNNNNNNNNNNNNNNNNNNNNNNNNNNNNNUCAUCAGGCACCCCAUGCAAGCGAAAUAUUUCCCGAAUAACAAGGUCAGCAGUCUGUUUAGCUGAAGGGAGACCACGAGCUGGUAUGAAAUGACUCAUCUUGGUUAACCGGUCCACAACAACAAGAAUAGUAGUGUGUUCCUUAGAGGGAGGUAGUUCCACAAUAAAGUCCAUGGAUAUAGAUCCCCAGGAACGAUGAGGAAUCGGAAGAGGCUGAAGCAAGCCAACAGGGGAUGAGCGAGGAGUCUUAUGUCUGGCACAUACAUCACAAGAGGACACAUACUUCUUAACAUCCUCAUAAUAUUUAGGCCACCAAAAGGAUCGGGUAAGUAGUUCUUGUGUCUUUUGGAUUCCCGGAUGACCUGCUGGUUUAGAGUCAUGGUAGAGGCGUAAAACGUCCAGUCGCACUGAUUCUGGAACAAACAGACGUUGUUGAAAAAUCCAAAACCCAUUAAGCAUGGUCAUAUGAAGAUUACGAGGAGGAUCACGAAAAAACUGGAUCUUUAGAGUAGCCCUUUUUAAUGCGAGACAUUAGAUCAGAAGGAAAGGUAACUCCUAAAAAUCUGCUCUCCGGCAAGAUGGUGGCCUUGGUUACUGUAGUAUGGAGGGGGGCAGCUAUCCUAGACAAGGCAUCCGCCUUGCCAUUUCUGGAACCAGGGCGGUAUGAAAUAAAAAAAUUAAACCUUGAGAAAAAUAGGGACCAGCGUGCUUGUCUGGCUGACAGUCUCUUAGCGGAUUGGAUACAUUCCAGAUUUUUGUGAUCUGUGAGGACAGUAGUUGGAUGGGUGGCUCCCUCCAAGAGAUGUCUCCAUUCGGUGAAGGCAGCUUUUAUAGCCAAAAGUUCUUUAUUCCCUAUGUCAUAAUUUCUUUCUGCUGGUAACAUCUGGCGGGAAUAGAAGGCACAUGGAUGUAACAACAUCUUAGGUCCAGUCCUUUGAGAUAGUAUAGCCCCAACAGCUGAAUCAGAAGCAUCUACCUCUACAGUAAAUGGCGAUUCUGGCUGAGGAUGUACCAAGAUAGGAGCAGAUGUAAACAGAGUCUUUAAUCUGGAAAAUGCAGUGUCAGCCUUAUUGGACCACUGAAAAGGAGUCCCUUUACGUGUAAGUUCAGUGAUCGGUGUAAUAACGGCAGAGAAAUUCUUAAUGAAACGCCUGUAAAAAUUGGCAAACCCCACAAAUCUCUGUAUAUCUCUUUCAUUCUUGGGGAUGGGCCAGUCCAGCACAGCUUUAAUUUUACUUGCGUCCAUACUUAAACCUUUAGGAGUUAUUACAUACCCCAGGAACUGAACUUCUGUUUGUUCAAACUCACAUUUUUCCAGUUUAAUGUAUAGGUGGUGGGUACGAAGGCGCUCAAGAACAAUGCAGACCUGUUUUCUGUGAUUUUCAAGAUUAUCAGAAAAUAUCAGGAUAUCAUCCAAAUAUGCCACAACAAACUGGUCCAGGAGAUCCCGUAGUACAUCAUUGAUUAGAUGCUGAAAAGUUGCAGGGGCAUUACAAAGCCCAAAUGGCAUUACUAGAUAUUCGUAAUGUCCGUACCUGGUUCUGAAAGCGGUUUUCCAUUCAUCAUUUGGUCUUAUGCGAACCAGAUUAUAUGCCCCCCAUAGAUCAAGCUUCGUAAAUAUUUUAGCUGAACGAAGUCUCUCCAGAAGUUCAGGAAUGAGAGGCAAGGGAUAACGGUUUUUAACAGUGAUUUUAUUAAUGUCCCUGUAAUCAACACAUGGUCGUAGACUGUCAUCUUUCUUUUCUACAAAUAAUAUAGGAGCUCCUGCUGGAGAAGUGGAUGGUCGAAUAAAGCCUUUGGCAAGAUUUUCUUGUAUGUAUUCACGAAGUGCUUUCAAUUCAGGCUCAGAAAGGGAGUAUAUACGGCCAAAUGGGAUAGCAGCUCCAGGUAGCAGCUCUAUGGGGGCAAUCAUAAGGCCUGUGAGGUGGAAGCUGAUCAGCAUUCUUCUUAUCACAGACAUCUGCAAAAUCCCGAUAUUGUAGCGGAAGCUUAGUUAAGUUUGUAGCAACCAUUUCAUUAAUUGUUGUGGUAACAGGUGUCGCCUUAGAGGGUUGACAAUUCAUUAAGCAGUGUUCUAAAGGAAAGGACAAAGUUCUAGUCUUCCAAUCAAUCUGUGGGUUAUGCAGAGCAAGCCAGGGUAUACCCAAAAUCACUGGAAACUGUGUUGAGGAAAUUAGUUGGAAAGAUAUAGACUCAUGGUGAUUCACUUCCAGAAUCAAUUUUAAGGGCACAGUCUCAUGUGUAACCGGGCCUGACGUAAGUGGAGAACUGUCUACUGUUUCCAUUAACACAGGUGAAGAUUUAGGGAUAGACUGAAUUUUAUUUUCUGCUGCAAAUUUAAUGUCCAUAAAGUUUCCGCCUGCUCCGGAAUCUAUCAUAGCUGUAGUUGAAAUUUUAUUAUUACCAUAUUGCAAAGUGAUAGGCACCACCAAAUGAGGAUGUUGAGUCAUCAUACCUUCUUCACCCUGAGCCAGAGAAAACAAGGGUUGUAUGACAGAAUCCAGUUGGUCUGAAAUCUGGGAUUGGUGUUGAAUCUGUGCACCCUCAGCAGUCAUAGCUAUUGUUCUUUUAGACUUGUUAGGGCAAUUGAUGGCAUAAUGCCCUGUACUACCACAAUACAGGAAUAAGUUGUGAGUGCGUCGCCACUGUUUUUCUUCAUUGGAUAAUGGCCCUCUUAUUAGAUCUACCUGCAUAGCCUCAGGUUCAGAGUCUGUAGGUGUUUGUGGGGUCGGAGUAGAAAUUCUUGAAUAGAAAGUAGGAGUAGCACUUGGUUUUAAAGAGCCCUGUCUUUCCAAUCUUCUUUCUGAAAGUCUCCGAUCAAUACGGAUAGCCAACCGCACAAAUGCAUCAAACUCAACAGGAAGAUCAACACGAGCUAGCUCAUCUUUUAUAGCUUCUGAGAGACCCCUUCUGAAGUGGAACCUCUGGGCUGAUUGGUUCCAAGUAGUAACAGUAACCCACUGUCUGAAUUCAGCAGCAUAUUCAGCCACAGAGCGCCUCCCUUGAUGUAAAUGAAGGAGAGUGGCUUCUGCUGUAGCACAGCGAUUGGGAUCAUCAAAAACCAGGCACAUGGCCUCAAGAAAGUCUUUUAAAUUUCCCAAGACUGGACUGUCCUGUUCCAGAAAAGGGGAGCCCCAGGCCAGGGCUUCAUCUUUGAAGAGGGAAAAAAUAAAUCCCACCUUCUCUCUUUCAGAUGGAAAACGGUUAGUUAACAUCAUGAAAUGCAAACGGCAUUGAUUUAGGAAACCCCUGAAUUUUUUGCGGUCUCCUCCAAAUUUUUCUGGUAGAGGCAAGCGGGCAUCUUGUGCAGGUGUAACAGUAGUAGUAGCAGCAGUCGCAACAUCAUGUGCCCUGUAGCUGGUAAGCUCACUAUGCAUUGAUCGAACUUCAUUUUGCAGUUCAGCUACCUGAUCCUGCAGCACUUGAAUGGUCUGUGCCUGGGUCUGCAUAGUUCUUGCAUUAAAAGCAACCUGUUGGGCCAAUGCAGAAUCUGAUCCGACGGUCUCCAUGAAUGGGCCAGAUUAUUCUGUAAUGAUAUUGAUGUUACAAAGUUUUGGAGUCCAGUAGCCAGAUCAGCAAUGUUUUCUGCCAGAGGUAGCCACUCGUUACCCAGGUGGUUGAGCCCCUGAGCCUUGAGUCUUAAGCAGAGAUGGGAGACUGGAACAGAAAGAUGAUAAUCGUAGUCAGGCAAGCCGAGGUCAGUGGGAAGGAGAAGCAGCAAAGUCAAAACAGUCCAAAUUCAGCAACAGGAAGGAGAAACAGGAACACGCUGGAUUAGAGAGUACAGGAACCACAAUAAUCUGGCAAAGGUACAGAGACAGGAAGUGGCUUUUAUAGGCCAAGGACCAGACACCUGACCAGACACCUGACCAGACACAGCUGAAGUGAGUUGUCACUGAUAACCUUGACUCUACAAACAAUAGUAUCAGAUCUCAGGUAAAUUUGCAAAAGGCAGGCUGGUGUACUGGUAAGGAAAAGGUUUAGCACCAUGUAAACCAGGGUUCGAAACCCAGCAGAGUCAGUUCCUCACAGAAUGUUAGGUGAUUUCUGCCCUUUAUGGAUUAAAACCAGACUCUGUAUCAACUGUGUAAUUUUCCAUGGGAGUUUUGCCAUGGAUCCCCCUCCGGCAUGCCACAGUCCAGGUGUUAGUCCCCUUGAAACAACUUUUCCAUCCCCAUUGUGGCCAGAAAGAGUCCCUGUGUGUUUUAAAAUUCGCCUCCCCAUUGAAGUCAAUGGCGUUUCGGGCGGUUCGCCGGUUCGCGAACAUUUGCGGAAGUUCGCGUUCGCCGUUCGCGAACCGAAAAUUUCGGGUUCGCGACAUCACUAGUCAUAGGUAGGUAUUGCUUAAUUUCAUUGUUACCUUGGCAUACACCUUCUUCUCUUCUUUUCCUUUAUGGAUCAUAACCCAGAGAAAACACAUGGAGUCAUUAAAAAAAUAUUUCUGUACCUCCAAACUGCAACAUUUUGGGAAAAUGUAUACAAUUUGACCUCAAAUUGCAAAUUUACGGUAGGUAUUCGCAAAAGGGCUUUUAUAUAUAAUCUUAAUUUUAUCACAGGAGGCUUCAUAUUUAGCAUAAACUUCCUUUACUACUCCAUAGCAGCAAAGACAUUAGAGAAAAAAAGGAACCAAUCAGACAGGCAGAGAGUAUAAUAUACGCCUUCCACUGAAUCACUUCCUCUUUCUUUGCUGCUCCAUCACAAGUAAGGUCAGCAUAUUGUGUGUCUACACUUUGUUGGCUUGUCUUGUUAUAUUUACUUAAUUUUACUUAUUUACUUGAUUGAUUUUUUUUUUUCUUACUGUAUACGUAUUUAUGGAGGGUUUUAUCUGAUAGUGGGGACGCUAUAACCCCAAUUGGUCGGAUUUCGGACAUUCAAGCAUUCCACGUGGAUGCCUUCUCAUUUUCUACGGAAGGUUUCACUCUUCAGGUGUCUCAACAUACAAGACGGACGUACAACGCCAGUUUUUUUUACCUUUUUUUUUUUUUUAUCGUAACCCAACUUUACAUGAUACAGACACUGCACACCUACAUACGGCCACGCUACGAUUACCUCAUCCCGACAAUUAUUGGUGUCCUACAUUAAGCCACAUGGGCAAGUCUCGGUUACCACCUUGACCCGCUGGGUACGAUGGCUUUUAUCUCUUGCCGGGAUUGACCUUUCUUUCAGCGCGCACUUAGUUUGGUGUGUGGCAGCCUCUUCCGCCUUCACAGCGGGGGCCUCCUUAUCAGAUAUAAUUCUCCUGGCAGACUGGUGACCAGAACCCACCUUUCGGACGUUUUACUCUCACCCGUCCUCCAUUGCUGCUUUCUCUCUAUUACCUUAGCGUUAAAAAUGCAAAAUGUGAAGCUUCUUGUCAUGUGAUAAAAUUGAAGAUUAUGCUAGCUUUAGUGUACUAAUAAUAUUAAUUUUAAUAAUGACACGAGGCGAGUGUUUUCUCCCCUAUUGAAUUUUCCUCCCAUUCAGGUGUGUUCGCAGCUCCAGGCAACUGAUGUAUAUUAUCAAUUUUCUUGUGACUGUAAUUGACUCUAUUCACUCUAGAUGGAAAGUUGGGGUUGUUUUUCAUAUAUAGUUGAUAUAUGUAUAGAUAUUCUAUAUUUGGUAGCUAUAUUAUGGUAUGUAUGUUAAAUUUUAUAGAUCACGAUAGAUUGUGAUAGUACCGAAUUAUUGCACACUUUUUAUGUGAUAGUUACUCAUAUUGUUCAGGUUUACAUUUCCUAUCACUAAAAUGCUACCAGUCUCUUUCAGCUUAAAAGACACAAAAAUCUUCUACAUCAAGCGUACAAGGAUAUUCAGUGUUCCCAGUUUUGACUGAAUCCAACCGUUGUUCAUCAUUCCUGGAAUUUGAACGGUCUUCGUUAUUCUGUAUGGUUCUCCAGUUGAUUGUGUGACUUGUGAUGUUGCCGUUAUCAAGAGAAAAUGACUCAGUGGAAGGCGUAUCUUAUUGUCUCCGAUUGGUUCCUUUUUUCUCUAUAUGUCUUUGCUGCUAUGGAGUAGUAAAGGAAGAUUAUGCAAAAUACUCGCCUCCUGUCAUUAUUAAAAUUAAGAUUAUUAGUUCACUUAAACUAGCAUAAUCUUCAAUUUCCAUAUGGCAAUGAGAACAUAACAAGUGCACACCAAAAAAGGACAUUGUCAGCUGGUUUGGUAUACCACAGUAACAGGUUAAAUAUGAAAACAGCCCAUAUUCUAAUCUCAGAUAUCACAGACUUUUGUUUUGGAGAGUCUAGAAUUUGAAAAAAGAGAUUGGUUAAGUACUUUUUUUGCACAAAUCAUGGAGUCGGGACCAAAACGGGGUAAGUCAGGAGCAAGAUCACCACAUGCAAACGUAGCUGCAUAACCUCCUGCGUAGGUCUGAAAGGGAUGCAAACUAUGUGCUUGAGAUUGACAGGCAUAAUGUACUAAGUAAGCAACAUUUUAAUCACCUAUUCAUGUAAGUUACUGUAGACACAGAUUUUUCUGUAUGUUCCAACAUGUUUGACCAGUCAUUAUUAGUAAUGUCACCACCCCGCUCAUUCUCCCAUGUGCCAUUGGAGUAAAAGUAUCUUUGGUUGUAUUCAGAUCACUUGGUGUCUAUUACGGUAUUGUCCAUAAAAAGUACAAAUCCCAUAUAAAGUCCUGGAGUUUGGACAAUUACCAAACACUAAACUUAGCGAACUUAGUCCUUUAUCGCAGGUACAUUGAUGACUUGAUUUUUAUCUGGAAGGGGUCAGUAUUUGAUUUUAGAAAAUUUUUAUAAUAAUCUUAAUUACAAUAAUUGGGGUAUAGCAUUAACGCCAGUAAAUACAAUAUAGAAUAUCUGGAUUUAGAGGUUUAUAUAGAGAAUGGGGAGUUAAAAACUAAAAAUGUUAAUGCUAACAACUAUGUACUAUAAAGCAGUGGGCACUACACUCCAUGGCUCAAUAAUAUCCCAAUGGGCCAGUUACAGUGGAUAAUAAGAAAUUGUACUGAUACCGAUGUUUUUAAAGAACAAGCUCAACUUUUAAUAGAUUCUCAUAUAAAAUAUAUCCUAAAGAAUUGGCUCAUAGAGCAUAUAAUGAAAUGUUGGAAAUUAAUCAGGAAGACCUUAUAAAAACAAAAGAGAAUAGGAUUGUUAAUGUAGGUAAUUCUGAUGUAGUAAAUCUAGUAUUUGAUUUUAAUGAGUCACAUUGGAAUGUAAAAAAACAAUAUUAACAAACAUUGGCACCUUCUAAAAAAAGAUAAUGAAUUAGCCAGAAUAAUUCCUGAAAAACCUUUUAUCACUUUUAGGGGAGCCCCAAAUUUUAAUUUGAUUUUAACGGACAAUCACCCUAAAAAUUAAGUAACAAGACAUUUUCUGGAGGAUAAAAAGGGUUUUUAUUCAUGCAAUAAAUGUAAAGGUUAUAAGGUUAGCAGGAUUAGAACCCUAAAGGGAGUUAAUAAAUUUAAGACCAAAUACAGUGAAAGGGUGUUUUUAUAUCAACGAUUUUAUCACAUGUUUUACCAGGAAUGUCGUGUAUCUUUUAAUAUGCCCAUGUAGCUUACUGUGUGGGUCGUACUAUACGCCCACUACAUGUAAGAAUUAGUGAAAAUGUCAACAAUAUUUUGAAAGGGUAUACACAACACAGUGUAUCUGCACACUUCAAAGACCAUCACAACAUUGACUGGGUAUUCAGAUAGUGAAUAAACCCUAUAGCGGUGGUUACCAUAUCCAGAAUAUAGGCAAGGAAGAAAUUAAGUGGGUACACAGAUUGAAAACCCUGUUACCCCAUGGUUUAAACAUUGAAUUUGACCUUUUUAAAUUUUUAUUAAAAAAUAUAUAUAUUUUUGUAAAAUAAUUUUUAUAAUAUUGUUUAUUAGAUAUAAAUUUAAGCUAAAUAUGUAUGUACAAGUUUUGCAAGUAUAUACUUGUAUCUAUUAUUAUGCCCUUUCCUCUCUAUUUUAACCUUUCUCCUUUUAGGGGUACUCACUCUAUUGCUACCUGCCUUUAUGAGGAUGUGGUUAACAGGGCUGCCAUCAGAAAUGUUGGGGCCCCUGACACAGCUCAAGGUCUGGGCUCCCCGGUGCCUGCACCCGAGUCCGCCCAAAGUGCUGCCCCCCCCGAAUCCGCCCACAGGGAUGCAGUGUCUACAGGGCCGGUGCAAGGAUUUUUGCCGCCCUAGGCAAAAGUAAAGUUUGCCGCCCCCCCAUGUGACAUCACAAUGCCCCACCCAUAUGAUCUGCCAUGUUAACUAACACCAGUGCUGCAGUGCCGCCGUGUUUACAUUAAAAGGCCUGCAGGGACAGGCUAGACACCAGAACCACUACAUUAAGCUGCAGUGGUUCUGGGGACUAUAGCGGUGGUUACCAUAUCCAGAAUAUAGGCAAGGAAGAAAUUAAGUGGGUACACAGAUUGAAAACCCUGUUAAAGUGUCCCUUUAAUGUGAGGUAAAUUAGAGAUUAGUGCCACGAAUAAUAUACUAGAUUGCCUACUUACAAUCAGAUGAGGAUGAUGAUGGGCUCUAGCUGCUGUCUCGCUCCACUGGUCUGGUGUACAACAGGCUCUCUGGAGGCGGUUUGUAACUGGUCACAAAAAUCACUGUUCUGGGAGAACGGGAAGCAGCUCCAUUUUUUUGAGGGCCCUUUACACAGCUCAAUGUCUGGGUCCCAGGGUCCACCUUCAUGUUCCACCAAUGAGUUUGUUCACAGGGAGUGGAGUGUGUGUGUGUGUGGGGGAUGUCCUGAUGUGUGUAAGGAAUGCAUUGUGUGAAUCUGUGUAAGGGCUGCAAGAUGAGUUUGUGUAUGUAUGGGAUGCAGUGUGUGCGUCUGUAAGGGAUGCAUUGAGUGUGUGUAAGGGGUGCAUUGUGUUUUGCUGUGUGUAAGGGAUGCAUUGCUUGUGUACGUGUAUCUGUGUGUAAUGCAUUGUGUGUUUUUCUGUGUGCAAGGGGUGCAUUGUGUGUGAUGGAUGUCAAUCUCUCCCCCUCCCCCCCGUCAAUUUCCUUCUCCCCCCUCUCCCUCCAAUUUCCUUCUCCCCCCUCUCCCUCCAAUUUCCUUCUUCUCCCUCUCCAAUUUCCUUCUUCCCCCCCUCCAAUUUCCUUCCUCCCGCCUCAAAUUUCAUUCCUCUCCCCCCCCCAUUUCAUUCCUUCCUCCCCCUCUCCUCAAAUNNNNNNNNNNNNNNNNNNNNNNNNNNNNNNNNNNNNNNNNNNNNNNNNNNNNNNNNNNNNNNNNNNNNNNNNNNNNNNNNNNNNNNNNNNNNNNNNNNNNCCUCCCUCCCCAGCGGCAGGCUGAGAUACAGGGGGCAGAGGUAGUUGUUCCUGCCCCCAGCAGCCAAGUGAUAUGCCGGGAAGGCAGUGUAAAGUGCAGGGAGAGGAGAGCAGCGUCCUCCCUCCCCAGCGGCAGGCUGGGCUACAGGGGGCAGAGGUAGUUGUUCCUGCCCCCCAGCAGCAGCAUGAUUUUUUGGGAAUUGGGAGCCCAGUCUCCAUUCCCCAGCGGGAGAUACAGCAGGGAAUUGGGAGCCCAGUCUCCAUUCCCCAGCGGCAGAGUGUCCUACCGGGAAUAGAGAGCCCAGUCUCCUUUUCCCAGCAGCAGGACACUGUAUUGGGAGCAGAGACAGUCGGUCUCCCUCCACAGAGGAUGAAAGUAUGUAUGGGAGAGGAGCUUGCUACCACCUCUCCCCAGCGGUGGAUCAUUAAUGGGCAGGGAAUAGAGAGCUCAGUCUCCUUUCCCCAGCGGCAGAGUGUUCUAUCGGGAGAGGAGCCUGUUACCCCCUCUCCCCAGCGGCAGCUUAAUGUAUCAGGGGGAGACAGUAAGCCCCACAACUGUGCAGAUGGGACCGUAGUCUCUACACUGCCAGCACAGGGGGUAGGGACGGUCGGUCCUGCCCCCCAGCGACAGGGCUGUUUAGCCAAAGGGGAGACAGUCGGUCUCCCCCUUCAGCAGCAGAGAUGGGCAACCAAAGGGGAGACGGUCGGUCUCCAGCAGCAGGACUGUGCAUCUAAAGGGGAGACAGUCAGUCUCCAGCAGCAGCAGCAGAGCGGUGUAUUUAAAGGGGAGACAGUCGGUCUCCCCCUCCAACAACCAGGCUUCCACCAGGCUACCCUCCCAGUAGCGCUGGCAGCAGGGCAGAGUGCCGCUGGUCUCUGCCCACGCAGCAACCCACCAAGUCAGCGUACCCGUACCCAGCACAGCCGUGGUGAGGCACCUGGACAUGGACAAGCUUCUCCUUUACCCAGGUGUAGUAACCAUUCAUUGUGGGUGGGCUGUGCUGUUGAUUAUUUGUUGUGGGUGGGCUGCUGGACUAACAAGGGCACUGACUGGCAGGAGGUCAGAUACCCUGUUAGUCUGUUUGGAAAAGGGGAGAGAUGUGACGAGACCAAUCUCGCCACAUUGCAUUGGAGAAGCCUGGUUGCUCGCCUGCUGCCUUUGGACUAUGGCCCCCUUUUUAAAGACUUUAUUUUUGCCUGCAGAAAAGCUGUAUUCGUGCUUUUCUGCCUGGGGUUCAGUAGAUUUGUUUGAAUGUGUUACACCCCAGAUAGGAAUCCCAUGGAGCCCAUUCGUAUGAAACUGACUGUAAAGACUUUGGCUCCAUGGCGAUUAAACUGUAUUCGUGUGGUCUGAGCGCCAUUCACUUAAUAAUGUGCGCUCAGACCUGAGCUAUCUGGGGAUAUGUGAAAUGUCUGUGUUUUAUGUAUAAAAGGUGACUUUAUGUAUUUUAAAGUGUUUUGUGUCUUUUGCAACCAUGUGCUUAAUGGAGUCUUGUGUCUGUCCUGGGAGAUAAUUGAAUUACUUAUCUCCAGGAUAGAAGACUCUGAAACUGGUUUGGGCCAGAAAGCCAUGCUUCAUUUAGUCACAAAGGACUUUUUGCUAACUUUUGAACCCCUUGUCUGAUUUGUGCCAUUUUUGAAUAUGUUGUUCCCCUGAAUGGAUUGAUUGAGAAUAUGUAAUUUUAUGUGAAUGUGAUGUACGGUUUUGGAGUUAUGAAAGUUGGGUAGAAAGUAUGUUUUAACUGUUUGUAUAAUUGAGUUUCCUCUCAGGAUAAGGGGAGGGAAUAUGUGGGAUGUAACUGUGAUAUGAUUGGUUGUUUUAUCCCUCCCUGUGGGUGGUCCUGUAUUUGAAACACUGUAAUAAAACCAGGCUGGGUGUGCCAGCACCUCAGACCACUGCUUGACCCUCAACACGGAGCCUUGUCUCAUUCUUGGGGGGGAUUCACUGUAUGCUGUUAGAGACUGAUUGCCAGGAGUGUAAGCUGAUUGUCUGCUUUUCCUGUUCGUCUGCUAGCAGCUAUUUGGGAGGUUCCAGUUCGGGAGUUGGAGUGCUAUUUUGUAUCAAGUUCGUGAGUUUUGGUGUUCUGCAGUAGCUGUGCCUGUAUCUCUGGAAAGGGGGCCGAUCGCCUAAACGGUUUUUACCCCUUGUGUGCAAAACGGUCCGUUACAGGUGGGCGCCUCCAGUUAUUAUUGGCUGAUCCCAACGGGCAAUACCGGGCAAUAUGUCCUGUGUUGCCGCAGCGAUGGCACGUUACUUUGUAAGAUUCCCGGGGAUGGUUGUUAUGCCCCUGGGGACGUGGAGGCCCUGGGGGUACUGGGGCCCGAAAUUCUGUGCGUGCAGGGUAGGUUGUAGUGCGGGCCUCUGCUCUAGGGGCUGGUCGUGUGUUACUUUGGCUCACCUUCCUUGUUUCUGCAUACUCAUCUGCUAGUCGCGCUGCUUCAGUUAAAUUGGCAGGGCGCCGAUCUCUUACCCAGUCCUGUAUAUCUGCAGCCAGAUCUUGAAAGAAAUGUUCCAUCAAGAACAACUGUAAUAUUUCUUCUCCGGUGUUAGCAUUGCACCCUCGCACCCAGUGUGUUGCCACCCGUUGUAUCUCGUUGGCCCAUUCCAUGUGGGAGUCCACUGCCUUCUUUUUGGACUCCCGGAAGCGACGGCGAUAUGCUUCUGGGGUGACCGCAUAUCGGGUGAGUAGUGCAGCUUUCACCCGUUGAUACUGCGUUAUAUCUUCCGUAGUAAGUGCCCGAAAAGCCUCAUUUGCUUUUCCUGAGGGCUUUCCAGCCAGAAUAGUAACCCAUUGGUCUGGUGGUACUUGGUGUAGCGAGCAUUGUCUCUCAAAGUCCGCUAAAUAUCCGUCAAUUUCUUCUUCAUUCUCUAUAAACGCUUUAAAUGCAGUGAACGGUAUUUUCCUCCCUGUAGCAGCGGGUGGGGGGGGUAGGAACUGCCUGUGUAAUGGGCUGUCUAGCUCUUACCAGUUCCGCUUCUUGUCCCCUCUUAGUUUGUAUCUCCUCCCUUGUUUCCCGGAGCAGCUGGUUUAUUAGCUCCGUGGAUCUUUCUGGAUACCAAGCUAAUCUCCGCUGUACAAUGGCAGAAAUUUCAUCGUCCUCGCUGACAGGUGCAAGAGGUUCUGUUCCCUCCAUAGACCUAUCCAUUUCGUCCAGUUCUAGUAGGUCAGCUAUCAGCUCCCUCCGUGGUCUGUUGCUGGCACUCCUACCACGACUCUCCAAUAAAUCCUUUAAUGUGGGUCUUUUCAGCUUGACGUACUGAGCCUCCAUUCAGCACUUGUUCUCUGGAUAAAAGGACCAUCCCACCGCUGCCAACCAAUGUAACGGCUACCCGGGUAGAGUGAGGGUAUCUGCCGUUGGUGACGUCCUUUUUCCCUGUAAGCUGCUGUGGAGAAGUAAGCUGGUAUAAUCCCAUCCACGAUAUCCAGAGUAAGAGUCAGGUUCAGCUGUAACAGGAGCAGAAUAACAUUCCCAAAUAAUCCCCUUCCAAGAACGAGACAAGGCUACGUUUUGCAGGGUCAAGAAGAUCUGAGGACUGGAACACCCAGCCUGCUUUUAUUGGGAUCAGGUACACACAGGAUACUCCCAGAGGGAGGAUAAAAACACCCAAUCAUAUACCUGGUAACACCCCCACGUCUCCUCCCCUCAGAUAACAUAUAACAUAAUUAAAACGUACAACAUUUUACCCCAGUUCUGGAUGUUCCCCAAAACAGGGGGUACAGCUUUAAAUCCGGGGUCGCUUGAUAGCUCUCAUUCAGGGGACCAACAUGUCCAAAAAUCAGCCCAUUCGGAUGAAUAGUUCGGGAGAUACAGAGUUCCAAAGUUUUGACCGACCGCACAGACCAACUAGCCGAAAAUAGUUCCAUGAGUUUUGGCCUCGCGGUCGGUCUCCGUUCGCCUGGUAAAAAGGUAUGAAAUUCUUGCCAUCCAUUCGAAUCUCGGGGUUCGCCGCAAUCCCCAUAGAUGAUUGAACAUAACUACCGAACGUCCGGUGAUUCGGUAGUUUCCGUGCGAACUUCUGGAAGUAUGGAGGACUCAGCGGUGUUCGCCUAUUUGCGUAUCCGAUUUUAGUUCCACGCGUCGACAGGCAAACACCGCUGUUCGCACGUAAGAUGGCCGCGGCUACGUGUAAAGUCCCGAAAUGGCGGCCACCUAUACUUUACACAGGGAAUUCAUGCGAAUCCAUUCGAAUGGUUGCAAUGCACUAAAUGUGACCAAUUCCUGCUGAUUUUGGUUAGUUCACUGGCCCAGGCAUACAGCAUAGUUCUGUUACACACUUACUCCCCCUUCACUUACUCCCCCCUCCUUCAUUUACACCCCCCUCCUUCAUUUACACCCCCCAUCUUCACUUACUCCCCCCUCCUUCAUUUACACCCCUCCUUCACUUACUCCCCCCUCCUUCACUUACUCCCCCCUCACUUACUUUCCCCCCCUUCACUUACACCCCCCAUCUUCACUUACUCCCNNNNNNNNNNNNNNNNNNNNNNNNNNNNNNNNNNNNNNNNNNNNNNNNNNNNNNNNNNNNNNNNNNNNNNNNNNNNNNNNNNNNNNNNNNNNNNNNNNNNGACAAAAAUGGAAACCAAGUCUAGAAUAAAGGAGUGAGAACCUUUUUGGACCACAAUAAUGGCUGAACCCAAAACCAUGUUCUUCCCUGUUGUAGACCUGUCUCAAAUAAGCGUGUGAUUUCGUAAAACUUCUGCAAAUUAAAAAAAACUAGUCCUUCAAACUUAAAACAGACACGGAUCCCCAAAGGAAAAACACAAUAAUUAGUCAAUCCUAAAUAAACUUCUCUUUUGGAAGUGGAAUAUCUGAAUAGGAAUUGUGAGAUCAACUCUUGACUUCACUCCUCCAUCAUACAAAGCCACAAACCAUGAGAUCAAUGGAAAGUAAUUCCCAAUGAGAAACAAACAUUUUCCCACCCACGCACAUCCUCCUCUGAGCUGGCAGACCUUUUAAUGGUAAACCAUUUCAUAUGGGUUUUAUGAACAUACUGUAUUGGAAUCAAAGAACGUGCCAUAUGCAGGAGCUCCUGCAGUAACAAACCGACUACUUCAGCCAAUUUUCAGUCAAAUUUUAGGCUUGAAGUACAGAAUAACAUCUCAAUUUUCUUCAAUGUUUGAAAUGUGCUAAAGAUGAUGAUCAAGGUAACUAUUUACUGUCCUACAAAUAUCCUGAGCAAAUGACACAGGAGCAGCUAACUGGAGUACUCUUACUUAGAACAAAUAUCCUGAGCAAAUGACACAGGAGCAGCUAACUGGAGUACUCUUACUUAGAAUUUUCUUUUAAUUCUAAAUACUAAUACAAAAACAGUAUUUACAAAGAUGUCUUUUAGAAUAUUAAGUGUUUUACUGUGCUGCUAACACUUUUGCGAAAUAAUAAUAGUUACCAUCUAUGGCAGUGGUAGGAAACCUUCAGCUCUCCCGAUGUUGUGGACUACAACUCUCAGAAUGCUCUUACAGUCAUAAUGCUGCAAAAACAUCAGGGGGGUGCACUUCUUAAUAUCUGGAGUGCCAAAGGUUGCCUACAUCCAUUCUAUGGUGUGAUGUAUCCUGCUUUACUUGCCAUGUAAGUGUUAUCUGUGUGCUGAGAGUCUUGGCUGGCCUGUUGAUGUAUUGAGCAGAGCCAAUCUAGGCAAUCAUUUUUGUGAUUUUGUUGAAUUAAUGAAUGGCUUGGAUUUUUGGUUAUCCAGAAUAACUGCCUUCUGGUGGUGCAUUUUACCAGGUGGUUACUUUGGGAAAUGCAACGGUGAGACUUGGAGAGUGAAUAGAAAAUCACGGCUUCAACUUACUUUAGUCAUACAUAAUCACAUUGCUAUGUUAGAUAUCGGUACACUAGAUCUGUAGACAUACUUUCUGGUAAAUAUUUUAUAUAAAAGCAGAUUGUAGUAGCAAACCUUUACAGGUGAAAGAUAAAUGUUAGGGCUGGCCCUAAUCUGAUAAAGCUUAAUCUGCACAAUGAAUGCAACAAAAUAGAAAAAUAUGUAUGUUUAGGUUUCUUCCGUUUUGAAGUAGGUUCAUGUGGAUUGUUGAGAUAGGUAUGGGAAGUUGGUUACCAUUUUGUAAUUUAUGACUGAGUCUCAUAUCGAAGUUUCAAUUUUUUGUGCCUAUGAGCAUAGAAUUUUUCUGCUCCUCAAUCACUUGUCUAUAAUUUUAAUGUAUCUGAAAAUAAAGGGUCACCCAGAGUAGCGUCUUUGUAAUCAUAAUUAUGGUUCUGCAGAAUGUGCAAAUCUUUGUACUAACUUUUUUACAAAGUUAGGAAACAAUACAUUGAACAUGUCUUACUGAUCAUUUGAUGUUGAUGCUGGUAGCCAGAGAUAUCCAUUACUCCACAGCACUCUAGAUAUACCUACCAAAACUUCAUCAAGUGAGCUACUUGCAAGGAUUUUACUCUUCUCUUGAUAUUUAAAGUAGUGAAAGACUUGUCUGAAACUUGAUCGGGUCUUCACCACCAAAACCUAUAUGUGAGAAGUACAAUUUAGGAUGAAAAAUCAUGGGUAUGAUUUAAUCUUCUGUCUGCUCAUAUUUGAGUUUCAGGAAUGAUAUGAAUUGAUCAACUGUAUAAAGUAUUUAUUCUUGUAAAGAAACUGUGAAACAAACAAAUAUACAUGUAUUUAAGUAUAAUAAAUUCCUAUAAUUCUUUUUAAAAUUUAAAAAGACUUUGUUUGUUAUUAUAUCACUCAUUUUGCUUUGAAAUUUUUUUCUUUGACUCCUUCGGAGGGGGAGGUGGUAGGCAUCUAAAAUAUUAACUGAAGAGUCUAAAAUAUUUCUGUGUUUAAUCAUUAUCCCUGUGUUUCCUAGCCUCUAAUGAGUUUUGUGUAAUUUUGUUAUAGUAUUCCUAUAUAAAUUGAUCGUGUUUCCCAAAGAGAUACUCUAGGUAUUUAUCCCAAUGAAGUGGUGAUUAGACUUGUGCACUACAAAGAAAUUUUGUUUGGCUGAACCACUUUGUCUGAAAAGAAAAUUGAAUUCAGGUAGUCCGAUAUUCGUCCAUGUGGCAGUUUGACGAAAAAGGGAUAUGAUAAUGGUCCAUUCAGAAUACUGCAAUUAACCAGGCUUUUUGUUUUGAUUUGCUUUUGAUUCUAACCUUAUCUGCCAGGGGUAGGCAACCUUUGGCACUCCAGAUGUUGUGGACUACAUCCCCCAUAAUGCUCUUACACCCAUAAUGCUGGCAAAGGAUCAUGGGAGGUGUAGUCCUAAAUAUAUGCAGUGCCGAAGGCUGCCUAUGCCUGUUAUAUGCCAUUCUAACCAUAAAUCAAAUUCUGCCACCCCAACUUUACUUCUAACCCUACAUUGGGACCUUAACAGAGCGAUUACGAGUGAUCACAACCCUCAUCUUUAAAAUGUGACAUGCACUCUCUCACUAAAGUAAGAAAAGUCAUUUGACUUAGAAAAUUUUUCAUUGUCUGUAUUUUGACCUUGACUUGAAAUUCACUUUGUAUUCUCACCUUUAGUGAAUAGUCCUGCCUGUGGUUGAAUUUCAGAGCAGUCACAGAGCCUGGGAACCGAUCAUUAAAUCAUUUAGCAAUACCCAGUGUCCCCAGAUGCUGCUCCAACCAUGUUAAUGGUUUACAACUCACAAAGUUCUUGGAAUGCAACAGAUAGCUAGAGAAUCAUGGGUAGGUUGUAGUUCAGCAACAUCUGGAAUGCUAGAAUUUGAGAUGCCUGUUUUAAAUCAGCAACGAACACCAAACUGCAUCAAUUGCCAAGGCUGAAAGUGGUGGCAACAUACAAUGUACACCAGCCAUCACUUAUGGGUUAUGUAUAGGAUCUUAUUAUUAAUGGAAAUCUCUAAAUAGUAUAUGACUAGAAGGGGAAAGCUAGAGAAGCUGGUAUUAAUGAAGAUAAAUGUGAAAUAAAUUAACUGGACAAUUUAUAUACUUAACUAAAAUGUGAGUUGUUUUUUUAAAGAAUUAAAGUCUAACUGAGCCGGGAAAAGAUUUAUUUAAGAAUUAGAGCAUCACUUUAAAAACUUUUUAUAAAUGCUGGAAUGGAAUACAUUUGUUUAGUCCUUCAUAGACCCCAUCCAGUGGCGUACAUACCAGGGUCGCAGCUGCGACCCGGUAUGUAUGCCACUGUGGCCAGCCACUGCUCCUGGGUGGCCCAGGAGCCGGCCACCUCAGGGCCCCCCGAGGCUGGCCCUGGUAUCACCGGGCAGGCAGGGUGGCGGGCACGCGAGAGAACACUGUCCCCUGAGUGCUUCCUCUUCAGCUCCCUUGCGCACCGCACUGAUACCGGAGCCGGAAGAUGACGUCAUCUUCCGGCGCCGGCAUCCCUACGCGGCAUGCGAGGGAGCUGAACAGGAAGCACUCAGGGGAGAGUGCUCACGCGCCCGCCAGCCUGCCCGCCCGGUGACACCACUGGACCCCAGGGAAUCCCCUCAGCACUCCAAAAGGUAAGGAGGCUGGGGGGAUUACAUUUUUUAGUUUUUGUGUUAGUGUGUGUGUGUUAGUAAUAGAGUGUGUGUGUGUGUGUCUUAAGCACUUACCUUUCUCUAGUGCUGGACUCCCUUGGCACCGGGAUUCUCUCUGCCUCUCAGCUCCGAAUGCGCAUGCAUGGCAAGAGCCACGCGCGCAUUCAAACCGCCCAUAGGAAAGCUUUACUCAAUGCUUUCCUAUGGACGUUCAGCGUCUUCAGCGUCUAUGAUUUUCACAGUGAGAAUCGCAGAAGCUCCUCUAGCGGCUGUCAAGAGGCUGGAUUAACCCUCAGUGAAACAUAGCAGUUUCUCUGAAACUGCUAUGUUUUCAGCUGCAGGGUUAAAACUAGAGGGACCUGGCACCCAGACCACUUCAUUGAGCUGAUGUGAUCUAGGUGUCUGUAGUGGUCCAAGUGUGUGUGUAUCUGCAUGCACUGGCGUACAUACCGCGGUCGCAGCCCUUCGACCAGGUGCCCGCCAGGGGGAGGGAGAAGGGGGGGGGGGCAUGGAUCAGUUUUCGCACCAAGGCCCCAUGGGUUGUGUGUACGCCACUGCCCCCAUCCUAGCAUUUUGAAAUAAAAUGCAGUGAAAACAAAUCCAUUUUAAAACAAUCUCUCAAACAGAGAUCAAGUCAGAUGCAUGCUGCCAAGUUGCGUUUUCGGUGUAUUGUAUAUUGUGGCAAAUGAACGAUUGGAAAAUUCUGGAAUAUAAAUUUGAAUGUCAGUUUGUCUACUAUGGUGUUAACAUUUCAAAUUGGUUGUUAAUAAAUCUUAAAAAAUGUAGUUGGUGAAUAAGCCUAGUAGUGUUUAAGCAACAUCAUAAUUUGCAUCAUUGUUGUUUUAAUUUUGUUUACAUAUAUUUAUUUGCAUUGUCUGUUUCAUGUUCUGCCUACUGUGACCCUUUACACGUAAUUGAUGUCUAAUCCAUUAAACAAAUGAACUAUUUCAAAAACAUUUUUGUAUAGUAUACAUAGCAGGAAAAACCUCAUUAAUUCGACAACUGCAUAAAUUACCUUAGUAACAUUCAUCUAUUCCCUCUCAGUUUCUGAUGCCAGUUCCUACCGCUUUCCACAUUUGGGGAAUCUUUUUGACGUACAAUGUCCGUACUAAUGAACAGCUUAGUUGCCUAGCAACUAGGCUCUCCUUGCGUCAUUCGGAGGACAGUGCAGUCACAGAGUGAGUAAUCGAUGAAAAGAAAUAGCAAACAAGAUCAUUAUAACAAGACCGCACUACAGCCUAUCCUUUCCCACAAAAUAAUUGUUCUGAAAUGAAAAAUGAGAAAAUAGCAUUUAAAGCAGUUAAAUCAGACAAAUCAUAUAUAAGAUACAUAGAAGCAAAUAAAGCACGCAAAAAGGCAAUUAGAUGGAUUAAACUAGAAAAUGAGAAAGUGAUAGCCAAAGAGAGCAAAACCAACCACAAAACAAUUUAAUAAAAACAAAGAGAACGUUACCUGCGCUCUGGCCUAAAUCCCUAUGUACAUUUAAACAAAAUGAAGGCUCUUUAGUUUUAUUCCAAUGGCCACUUGAAUAUAUAAGCUCACCUGCCACGUCAAGGCAAGCCUCAAAAGGUGAGUCCUACACUAGCCAUUAGAUAUGCUGAUAUUAGAUAUAGUAGGCUGAUAAAGAGCCUCCAUUUUGUUUAAAUGUACAUAUUUAGGAUUUAGGCCAGAGCGCAGGUAAUGUUCUUUGUUUUUACUAUGUAUUUUGAGCUGUUGGAUACUAAGCUACUGCUGCUGUAAGUGCGGUGCUUUAUCUUUGUGUUUGUACAAAACAAUUUAAGUACAUAAAUUCAAAAAAAAAAAUAAAAAAAAAAAAUUGUAGGUAUACUGAAGAUGGAGAUGAAGACCAGGAAAAGGUAGACAUUUUUAAAUGACUAUUUUUUCCUCUGUAUAUAGUAACUAGGAACCUAUAGCAAGAGAUAUUCAAAUGAUUGUUGCAAAUAACUUGCAGAAAAAUUGUGAUUGGAUAGCUUAAGACACGGUGUUGCAGCAACUAAAAGAAAGUUAAUGAGCACUUAAGGAGGUACGUGUGGAAAUCUGUAAACCUCUGUUUUUAAUCUUUCAGGAUUCUUUUCAGGAAUUGUACUGAUGGAUUAGAGGAAGGCAGAUGUGGCUCCUAUAUUCAAAAAAGGUUCUAAAUCUUUUCCUGGAGAUUAUAGACCUGUGAGUUUAACUUCACUGGCUGGGAAAGUAUUUGAAGGGUUUUUAAGGUAUAAUUGUCAGGAAUUCAUUGGGAAGAACAUUAUUCGCAGAAAUCAGUAUGGUUUUAUGAAGCAUAGUGUGACAGAUCCAUCUAAGUACUAUCUGCUGGUUCGUCUACUUUGUUAUACAUUCGUGGAAUUACCUGCCCGUACGUCCCUGUUCAUUUAUUUGUUUAUACCGAAUAAAACUACCAAACGGCCGGCCACCCAGAAGAGAAGUGUGCUGCUGGUUAACCUAUUGGCCUCAAUUAGAACAUUGUGGUUGACCGCAGACACCUCUUAAUUGGAACCGUAUGCUGGGUGGUCGUCGUUCGUAUGUCGACCACGAGGCGGCAGCCAUUUUAAACACACGAAUGAACAGCGGUGUUCGACGAUGAACUUAUGGAACUCAAACCGGACACCUUUUCUACCGAACACCGCUGAAACCGCCGACCGCCCUUCUUAUCAUCGGGCAUACGAACGCCGGUCAAUUCAGGACUUUUUAUUGUACGAAUGGACUUAACCCAGAUAGCCAUCCCAUGGAGUCAUUAGUAUACCAAAAGAACAGUGUGGAAGACUUUGACUCCAUGGCGAUUGAAAUGUGUGCAUUGGGUCUGAGCACUAUUCGGUAGUAGUGUGCGCUCAGAUCUAGGCUAUCUGGGGAUACGUUAUACAAAUUAAAUGCAUUCGGUAGUUUUACAUUUAUGGAUUUUUAUGUGUUUUUAUUAUACCAUGUAAAAUGGCGGUUUGCCUCUAUCCCUGGAGAUAAUUGGAUUUCUUCCCAAUUAUCUCCAGGAUAGAGAUGAGGGGUUUACCUGUACACAGGGGAGUGUUUAUACCUGAGCCACUGUGAUUGGCUACUGUACCUCCUUUGUCCCAGUCUUCCAUCUGGUCCCCUAGGGGAGCCUUUGACAAAGGCGCUCGGGUAGCGCCGAAACGUGCGUCAGGACUUAUGCCUUAUUUUAAACCACAGCACUUAAUUUAAGCACUUUAGGGGUUAGAGAGAAAUGAUUGAGACUUUAUGAGAGAUUUAUUUAGAGUGGUGGGUAGUUUCUACAGAUGGACUCCUUUAUUCUAGGAUAGCCUUAGCGUUCUAUGCAGUGGAUGUUUAGUGAAAUCCCUUUUACAGCAUAGGCUAUAUUAGUGUCCUCUAUUAGAAAUCCUGGUUAACAGACAGUUCAGUUCACUUCUUUGAUCCUUUAUGCUUACUAGCUAUAGCAAAUUGAGGGGAUACUAUGUAUCCAUACUUAGCAUUGUAGGCGGACAUCUGGCAACUGUUAUACUCUGUUAUACAGGAUAGUCUCUACCCAAAUCGCUACAUAUCGUUAGGGGAGAGAUUGUAUACCAAGAUCUUUUCUUGCUGUGACACUUUUUAGUAUCACUUUAUCUCUGUCUCUCCCCCUUUACCUUAUUAUCUCAGUUCUCUCUAGUGUGUGUUAGUUUUUAUUAAGUUUUAUUUAUUUUUUGGGGGGAAUUUAUACCCUAUAAUAAAGAGAUUUCUUAUUUCUAUAUUUAUUUUUUUAUGCAAUCACAAUACCCAGAGAACUCUUUCUGUGUUCCUAUGGCGUUCUCUAGCCAGGGACCAUUCUUAGUACCCUAGGGGAGUGUCCACCAGGUGGGAGACCUGCAUAAAUACCGGGCAGGUAGCCCUCAAUAAACCAGAAUCCUGUUCUACCCUCAAGAAGGAGCUUGGUCUCGUGUUUGGGGGGGAUUGCUACUUUGGAAUAUUCUUUUGCCUGUUCCAGGAGAGCAGGAUUUCGGCUGAUUCUCAGUUCAGGGAAUUGAAGCGUUCGUGAGUUGCUAUUCCCGUAAUAAGGUCAACUUCCUAUUCAGUAUUAACCCACGAUACCCGGGUUAUACCAUAACACAUAGGUCAUGUCAAACUAACCUAAUUACAUUCUGUGAAGAAGGAAGUAGAAGUUUAGAUCAGGGUGUUGCAGUGGAUGUGAUCUACUUGUAUUUGGCCAAGGUUUAAUACGGUUCAACACAAUAGAUUAAUGUUCAAACAAAAAUAAAUUGGUCUGCAUGACAAUUCUUGUUCUUGGGUAUACCACUGGCUUAAUGAUGGAGUACAUACAUAAAGUGUCCCUCAGGAUUCUGUUCUGGGAUCACUUCUACUUACCAUAUUUAUAAAUGAUCUUGAAAUAGGCAUUGAAAUUCAAAUGACACAAAACUGUAACCGAAUGCAAUAUGAGCAGGAUAUUCCUUCACUGCAGAGGUAUUUAGAUAUGGGUGACUGGGCACUAAAACAAGAUAUUAAAUUUAAUGUAGAUGAAUGCAAAAUGUUAUUCUUAAUAGACACAAUUGCGGUGCUACAAUAUAUAUUUGAAGAUGUUGUGUUAACAAAUAGACAUGCUAAUUUUACUGUAUUUGGUUUCAGAGUUCAAACAUUCUUGUCCUUAUUUCACACAUGAAAUUUUGACCAUGCCCUCUGUGUUCACCAUGCUAUUCAGAAUGCUUAUAUGUUAUCCUAGCUCUUUGCUUUAUUCAGAACUUAAUCACAGGCCCAGAAGAUCUCUUGCAACUUAAUGGUUGCAACUCUUGCAACUUAAUGGUUGCUCUAUUAAGCCUGCAUUGAUGAUAGAGAUGUGUGUGGAAAAUAUUUCAGAAAAGAUACCCAGGUGUUCUAGAUGCAGGCUCUCCUUCUCCUCCUGCACCUUUGAACCUUAAUCAGGGUCUAAAAUGAAUCCCUCGUGGCCUUCUUUGUACUUUAACCCCUUAAGGACCAAACUUCUGGAAUAAAAGGGAAUCAUGACAUGUCACACAUGUCAUGUGUCCGUAAGGGGUUAAAAGGACCUAUGUAUGAUGUUAGGCGCUAAGAUGCUUGUCUAGUUGUAAAGAUGUGUGUGUGUAUAUAUGUGUAUGUGUGUGUAUGUGUAUGUGUGUGUGUAUGUAUAUGUGUGUGUGUAUGUAUAUGUAUGUGUAUAUAUAUAUAUAUAUAUAUAUAUAUAUAUAUAUACACACAAAAUCAAAAACAGCUUGGCACUCUCCUUCCAAUUAAAUAAGAAAAAGCAAAAAUUGCCUAGGUGCUACCCGCGUUACAAAUAUAUAUUGCACUCACAGGUCUUUUAAAAAACACAACAACUAGUUUAUUAACGACCGUAUACCUGUCUGAAAUAAAGUUGGGGGAAAAAAAAACAGAUGCUUUUUUAGUGCAGGCAUCCCUUUGUUAUAGAAGGAGGUUGGCAAGAAAGUGGGGUGGCGUCCUUACAAGAUGUAGUAUAGACUGUGCCCAGACAUAGCAUUGUUAUGGACAAACUUGGCCCAGAGUACCAGUGUCCUUUAAGGAGCAUGCAGCUCCUUACAUAGGCAUUUAAAUGCCUAUUGCUAGAUCGUAGUGUGAGCAUGUUAAGUCAUUGAUCACAGCAGAACACCCAGGUAUCAAUGGAUUCCGGGGGCUGGACUCUGAAAUGAGAUGUAUGUAGUCAGGGCUGGUUCAAGAUACACAGGCAAAGAUGCAAUUUCCAGCCUCCCUUAAAAAAAAUGCAUCUGUAUUGUAACUCCCACUUUUGAAUUUGUUAUCCCCUUUAGUGUUUCAUAUAUCCUCUUUUGGAUGUCUUGACCCUUUAGUGUAUUUUAUCCACCCUUUAAUGUGUCUUAAACUCACUUGUGUGUCUCCUACAAUCUCCCCUUGGUUAUCUCUUCCUUCUCCUAGCCCCUUUGUAUCACUUACUUCCCACCAGCUUCUUUAUGUGUCUUUCUUACCCUAGCCCCUUUCUGUGCCGCUCCACCCUCCUUCCCCCAAACCCCUUUCUUGGUAUCUUUCUCUCCUUAUUUCAUUUUGUGUGUCUCUUUAUUUCAAAGCCAUACUCAGGGACACAGUCACAAAGAUAUACAGACACAUAGUCAUAAAAGGCACACAAUCAAACACAGUCAUACAAUAUAAACAUACAUGUACACUGUCAUACAGAGACAUAAAGAUGUAGACAUACAUUUAUACAGAGACAUAAAUGCAGUCAUUCAGAGACAAAGAUGCAAGCAUACAGAGACAUACAAACACAGUAACACGAAGACAUACUGGCCUACAGAGACAUGCAUAGAUAUAUAGGCAAUACAGCAACAUACCUACAUAGGCGUACAGUCAUACAGAGACAUACUUACAUAGACAUACAGGCACUCCUAGACAGACAUACAGUGACAUACAUACAUAGGCAUUCAGAGACAGACAUACAGGUAUACACGUGCAGACACACACAGACAUACAGAAGCAUACAGUCACAUUUGCAUACUUCCAUCUGUAUACAUCGCUUAAUAUUGCUAGAUACUCAUCAAAGAUUCAUAUAUAAUAAAUUGACAGCUGCAAUAAAUGAUGUGACUCAGCACCCACUAGGUAUAUCAUCGUAUAGGUAAGGACAGUGGUGUACACACAACCCAUGGGGCCCCGGUGCCCCCACCCACCGCCGGGGGCCGCAACACAUGGCGGCGGGCACCUGGUCGCACCUGUAUGCCAGUGCAUGCAGAUACACAUACACGAAAAGGACCACUACAGACACCCAGAUCACAUCAGCUUAAUGAAGUGGUAUGGGUGCAAGGUCCCUCUAGUUUUAACCCUGUAGCUGAAAACAUAGCAGUUUCAGAGAAACUGCUGUGUUUUACUGGGGGUUAAUCCAGCCUCUAGUGGCUGUCUCAUUGACAGCUGCUAGAAGAACUUCCGUGAUUCUCACUGUGAAAAUCACAGUGCGAAGACGCUGAACGUCCAUAGGAAAACAUUGAGUAAUGCUUGAAUAAUGCUUUCCUAUGGGCGGUUUGAAUGCGGUGCGGCUCUUGCUGCGCAUGUGCAUUCGGAGCUGAGAGGCAGAUCAGGGAGGAGGGAUCCCCAGCGCUAAGGGAGUCCGGCGCUGGAGAAAGGCAAGUGCUGAAGACACACACACACACUCUCACGAACAGACGCAUACACACUAGCUAACAGAGACACACAUUUACUGACAGACACACACUCAGUGACAGACAUAUACACACUCACUGACAGACAGACACAUACACACUCACAAAACACACACUCACUAACAGACACCAAACAGACGCACUCAAACUAACACAUUCAGUAACACACUCACUGACACACACGUUUUUUUUUUUUUAAAUUGAAUACCCCAGCCUCCUUACCUUUGGGAGAGCUGAGGGGGUUCCCUGGGGUCCAGUGGUGUUGCUGGGCGGCCGGUCACCGGGCAGGCGUGCGAGGGAGCACUCUCCCCUGAGUACUCCCUCUCGCGCCCCACGUACUGAUGCCGGAGCCGGAAUAUGAAGUCAUCUUCCGGCUCCGGCAUCAGUGCAGAGCGAGGGAGCUAGGCAGAGAGAGCUCAGGGGAGAGUGCUCCCUCGCGCGCGCGCCAGUCCGGUGAUACCAGGGCCAGCCACAUUGGGUACAUAACGGGUAUGUACGCCACUGGGUAAGGACAGUCAGCCAACUCCCAUACAAGUAUUAUGCAUGUAUACUUGUAAAAUCUGCUUGAGAAGGCAAUGUAGUGGUGCCAGACUUGGGUACUCCAGCAGCCCCAGGCCUACCUAAGAGCUGACAACUUUUGCCCAUGGACUAUGAGACUCACUGAGACCAAGUCCUUCUAAUUCAGGAGACCGCAUAAGGCCCUAUAGCAUUGUUGGCUAAGUCUCCAUCAUUGGUAUUCAAUGGUCUUCAGCUAAUGUGAGUGGUGCACUGAGGGGUCAAACCAUGAAUGGAUCUCUGCUCAGGUGGGCAAAUGGUAGAAGAAAUGGUAGCUUUGACAUCUGAUUUGUACCUUCGAUCUCCAUCUGCAGGCAGAGAUUCUGGUGCAGCCAAACUUGAGAAUUCCUUCAGCCUCGCCCAGAAGAGCUCAAAGAUAGCAUCCAACUUAGCCAUGGAUAGAAGAUGAAAGCCAGUUGAGUUGGUUUAUUGUGGGUUCAAACACUGUGUUGCCUGAACAUGUGUGCCAACCAUCUUGCUUAGCUUGGCCUUGCACUAGUGUCUAGUGAAGUGAGUAGCUUCACUAUGUCCAACAAGGUCUGGGAUAACCCUCACCGGUCCCGGUCCCGGUCCCGGUUCCAGUCCCGGUCCAAAGGGGGGACGGGGGGAGAGUGUGACCUGGACAGUAGCUGCUGCUCAUUCAAGGCAGGAGGUCAGACGUGUUUCCCACCCAAGAGCAAAUGGCAGGCCGCAGAAAGGGCUGGGUUCCUCAAAGCACCAAUUAAAGCUGGUAAAGUCGAUCCAGGAGUUGCCGAAGCUCACUCCUUAUAGCAUGGAACAAUUUCAGCUUCUAGAUUACAGAGUUUCUCAAUUUGUGGGUUUAAAGCUCAAACUAAGUCAUGGAGCUCCCUCAACCUCUGUCCUGCUAACUUGGUAGUCAGGCCUGUCGCCUUUAUUUUUUAAAACUAUUUUCCCGCUUAAAGUUUAUAUGAUCAGUAGGCAGAUUUUGUGAAAUUCUGCUUAUCCCUUAUUUCACUGCAAAAAGCAGACAAAAGGAAAUCUCCAAAUAUGCCUACAUAUGUGCCAGUUUCAUGAAAUGAUCCGUAUUUUAUAAAUAUCAGAUUUCCAUAAUUUUAAUUUGUAUGGUAUAUGAACCAUUUUCUACAAUUUUUUAAAGUAGACACCAAUCUGCACUGAACCAGAUGAACACACCUUAACACAAAUUAACACUUGAAUUGCUUUUAUUAAAUUUCCAAAUUGAAAUUAAAAAAACAAAGCAUGCAUGUGUUUUCACAUAUAGUAUUAUAAUUUGAUCACUAGGUGGCAGAUGUUGAUAAAGAGUUUCUUUGGUUGCCCAGAAAAAUCAUAUAGAUAAUAAAAGAGCUGUGAGUGCAUUACUAGACUAAAUAUGAAUUGGCUGCAAAUAUUCUGUCUCUAUGAGUUAGAAUUUUAUCACAUGACAGGAGGCUUCGUAUUUUGCAUAAUCUUUCUUUACUAACUCCAUAGCAGCAAAGAAAAGAGUGACAAAACUGAGAACCAAUCACAAUGCAGUAUAGAGUAUAAGAGGCGUGACAUAUGACAUAAUUUCCUCUUGCUUUGCUGCUCCAUCACAAGCUAAGUACAAAAUAUUUAGUCUCUCUGUCCUUCAUUAUUUAGCCUAUAUAUCAUAUAUAUUAUCAUUAUUUUCAUAGCUGUGACAUUGUACAAAUAUACUAUAUUCAUUCCUAUUUAUUUAUCUAUACUGUUGCCCUCCAUUUCGGGGGGCUAACCCCUCUCCUCUGGGGUCUUUUCUCCUCAGGGACCUUUCCCCUGUUUGGUUCCCCCUUUUUUGGCUCCUGAGGUUUGCCACUAGCUUCCCAAGUGGAUUUUUUCAGCUCCCCGCCAUCUAUAUCCACCCUCCCCGGUACCAUACCUAUUUCCGCGGGUUCCCUCUCCCCCUCCUCCUUCUGUCACCCUUUCACCUCACGUAUGGCACUAAAAGGUUUGCCGUGUGUUCGCGAAAGGACGUUGUUUUUUCUACCGAAUGCUUGUCGUUCGGCAGUUUUACACGAUCGCUUUUUAGGCGCUCGCGACCAGCGCACGUUUGGCUGUUUGCACUCCCGGCCCUGCCUGGCAUUCGUACAACUCCUAGUUUUGCCUUCCAAACUAGGGGAGGUACUAUCCUCCCCAUACUAAUGGCUGUUAGCCCGGCGGCCAUCUUAAAGUAAUAUUGCUGUCACAAGGGCAUAGAGCAUGGUUUUAAAGGAGCACAGGACAAACUGCUAGACGCCAAUGGGCCAUUAGCAAGAAUUAUGGACAUGGCAGAUGACGCCUAUGAGAGGGCUGAUGAUUUUACACCAGAUACGGUGCAUGAGUGAGCACGAGAUACCCGAGAAUGGGCACAGAGGUGCUUCUGUUUCCUAGGGAACACCAUGUAGCCCUCUCUUCGGAGAGGCGCCGAGCAGCACUUUACCGUAUAGACGACAAACUUGUGGAACUGGGGGAUAAAGAAUUAGGCCCCUUGGCACAGGGUAAAUUAUUCGGAGAGGCCUUCCUUAAAGAGUUGAAUAAGAGGGUCAAUAUAUUUACGUCCCUUAACAAGGCACAAACCUCUAUGCGGAAAGUCUUCCGCGGCUCUAACACCCGAAGUGUUUUUGGUAGGGCUGACCGGCAGAGGGGCCAUGCCGCCAGCCGCUUCUGGCCAUCCGGCCCCCACACAACAAGGACUCAACCGUUCUACCCAGACUCGUCUACCCGACAUAGAUUCCACCAAUUUAGGGGAUCAGAUAGUGGCCGAGGACGCUCUCAGGCAAGAUUUUCCAACGAUAAGUCAACAUUCUACCCUACCUCUAACCUCCUGUCAUAUCACAGGUCGUGUUUCUCUUUUUUUCCAGAACUGGGCAGACCUGUCUUCAGACACGUGGAUCCUCCAAACAGUGAGGGGCUAUCAAAUAGAGUUCGAGAUGACCCCGCUCCAAAAGGGGCACCCACGUCAGAUCCAGACUACACGGGCCGACGCCCGUCUAAUAGACUCGAAACUACGAGAACUGCACUCCAAGGGUGCCAUCCAGCCAGCUCUGGACUCAACUGGCUUCCACAGCAGUAUCUUCCUGGUCAGGAAGAAAACCGGCGAAUUGCGCCCCGUUAUCAACCUCACGUGCUAUACCGACAUUUCAAAAUGGAAGGUAUUCACCUGCUCCGGGACCUGCUUCGAAGUAACGACUGGUUUACCCGUCUGGACCUCAAAGAUGCAUACCUUACCAUUCCGGUACACAAAAGCAGCCGUCCCUACCUCAGUUUCUUCUGGCACGGGACACCCUGGCAAUUCACCUGCCUCCCAUUUGGCCUUAGUUUGGCUCUGUGGUGCUUCACCAAAAUGAUGAAACCAGUAGUGGCGAAACUCAGAGUUCACGGCAUAAAAUGCAUCAUUUACCUCGACGACAUCUUCGACAAGGAUGCAGGGACUCUGAGGAGACACACAAACUACACAGUACACCUACUCAAGUCUCUAGGUUUCAUUAUCAACCGCCCCAAGUCCGCAAUGACCCCGGCUCAAUCAAUGCAAUUCCUCGGACUCGUAAUAGACUCCACAUCAUGCACUCUUCAUCUCCCGGCCACAAAAAUGACAGCCAUUCGCAGGGAAAUCCAGAAAGUCCAUCGACGGGCAUCCAUACCCCUGUGACUACUGGCACGGAUUGUAGGCCUUCUCUCCUCAUCCAUACAGGCCAUUUUUCCCAGACCCCUGCACUACAGGGCCAUGCAAUGCCUCAAGGCCAAAACAGUUUGCAAAAAACCUACAUACGACCAACCGGUUCCUAUGUCGGACGAGGUUCUGGAGGAACUACACUGGUGGCUAAACUGCAUGCAGGCCUGGAACGGCAGGGCCAUAUUCGGAAACCAGCCAGACUUCGUGCUGGAAUCAGAUGCCAGCCGUUCAGGCUGGGGAGCAACGGACGGGACCUCCUCCAUGGGAGGAGUAUAGACUUCACAGGAGCUCUCGAUGCAUACCAAUUGCCUAGAACUCUUGGCCGGAUCCUUCGUCAUUUGCAGCCUGGUGAAGGAACGAUCCAACUGCUGCAUUCUGCUCCGGAUGGACAACGUCUCUGCGGUAAGAUACAUCAACCACCUUGGAGGCACACGUUCCCAGGCACUGGUGGAACUCACAAAAGAGAUCAGGGAUUACUGCCUACCACGCAACAUCACGUUGCUGGCAGAACAUCUACCAGGAGAAUCCAAUAUGACAGCGGACUGGUGUUCACGUCACUGGUGGGAUGCCAGCGAUUGGCAACUAGACCCUCAUAUUUUCACAAUACUGGAUGCACAGAGGGGUACUUUCUCCCUAGAUCUAUUUGCGUCCCACAACAACCGACAGACGAAGGAUUUCUUCAGCUGGCUCUCAGACCCGCAGAGCCCAGCAAUGGAAGCUUUUCUACAACAAUGGCCACGAUAUGGAGCUUACGCAUUCCCACCUUUCACAAUGAUAACGAGGGUCCUUCACCGGAUUUGCAUGCAGAGAGUGAGGAUAACCCUCAUUACGCCACUUUGGCAGAGCCAGCCAUGGUUCCCAGACCUUCUGGGACUGUCAAUCAGGGACCCCCUCCUCCUACCAGAUGCUCCGACCAUCCUCAGGAACCCGUUGGGACUACCUCACCCGCUGGUCAUGGAGGAAUGACUUCCCCUGGUGGCCUGGACUCUUUCCUGGGUUCCUGGCGAACCGAGGACUUAUUGCAGGAAACUAAGGACCUCCUAUGUGACUCAUGGGCACCAGAAACGAGGAGGUGCUACUUAUCGGCAUGGCACUCCUGGACAAGUUGGUGUGUGGGACGGGACCUCUAACCCUUUACUGGACCUAUUCCCUCCAUCAUGAAUUUCCUAACCUCUCUGUUCACAGCCAGAAAGUCAUAUCGGUCCAUCAACGUAGUAGGUUCAACCAUCUCAGCGCCCCAUACUCCUGCCCAAGGGAUACCUGUUGGUCAGGAUCAGCUCAUCUGCAGACUCCUCCGCGGCAUGCGCCUUCGGCACCCCCCGGAACCCAAACCUCUCAAGACUUUGGGACGUUGGCCUUGUAUUACACUUCUUACGGGACUGGCCUCCUAACAAAGAUUUGUCACUCCGCCAACUUACCGCGAAAUUCACCUUAUUGCUCUGUCUGGUUUCAUUUCGACAGGUAUCCGACGUAUGUACCUUCGAUGCCGACGCAUUUACCUUUUGCCCGGCGGGUGUUACCUUUCAGGUCCCACGACGCACUAAGUCCAACUCUCCCUCGGUCUUCUACCCAUUUUUUCCUUCAGACCCUCAGCUCUGCGUGGUCUCUACUCUCAGUCAAUACGUGGAAGCAAUCUUCCACUCGUCAACUUCUCAUCUCUUAUGUCCGCCCUUACGGUCCAGUUUCGGCUACUACACUGGCCAGAUGGGUUAGAUGGCUACUGUCCCUUGCCGGUAUUGACCAAACUUUUGGGGCACUGUUAAGACACGAACCGCCAGGUAGAUGAAGCCACCGUUUAGUAAAUAAUCCCCUUAUCCAGAAAUGCAGUUUAAAUCCAGCCGACCGCCAAACUCCCGAAUGAAGUCCACGAACACGGCAACUCCCGAUCAGCAAAACAGUUGAAUGCCUUCCACAGCUAAAAAUAACGAAAGCACUGUCCCAGUAAUAAUUCCCCCACAAACGAGACUAAGCUCCGUCUUGAGGGUCAAAUAAGAUCUGUUUAAUGGGGGCUACCUGCCCGGUAUUUAUGCAGGUCUCCACAAGGUACGGAUUGUAGGCCUUCUCUCCUCAUCCAUACAGGCCAUUUUUCCCAGACCCCUGCACUACAGGGCCAUGCAAUGCCUCAAGGCCAAAACAGUUUGCAAAAAACCUACAUACGACCAACCGGUUCCUAUGUCGGACGAGGUUCGGGAGGAACUACACUGGUGGCUAAACUGCAUGCAGGCCUGGAACGGCAGGGCCAUAUUCGGAAACCAGCCAGACUUCGUGCUGGAAUCAGAUGCCAGCCGUUCAGGCUGGGGAGCAACGGACGGGACCUCCUCCAUGGGAGGAGUAUAGACUUCACAGGAGCUCUCGAUGCAUAUCAAUUGCCUAGAACUCUUGGCCGGAUCCUUCGUCAUUUGCAGCCUGGCGAAGGAACGAUCCAACUGCUGCAUUCUGCUCCGGAUGGACAACGUCUCUGCGGUAAGAUACAUCAACCACCUUGGAGGCACACGUUCCCAGGCACUGGUGGAACUCACAAAAGAGAUCAGGGAUUACUGCCUACCACGCAACAUCACGUUGCUGGCAGAACAUCUACCAGGAGAAUCCAAUAUGACAGCGGACUGGUGUUCACAUCACUGGUGGGAUGCCAGCGAUUGGCAACUAGACCCUCAUAUUUUCACAAUACUGGAUGCACAGAGGGGUACUUUCUCCCUAGAUCUAUUUGCAUCCCACAACAACCGACAGACGAAGGAUUUCUUCAGAUGGCUCUCAGACCCGCAGAGCCCAGCAAUGGAAGCUUUUCUACAACAAUGGCCACGAUAUGGAGCUUACGCAUUCCCACCUUUCACAAUGAUAACGAGGGUACUUCACCGGAUUUGCAUGCAGAGAGUGAGGAUAACCCUCAUUAUGCCACUUUGGAAGAGCCAGCCAUGGUUCCCAGACAUUCUGGGACUGUCAAUCAGGGACCCCCUCCUCCUACCAGAUGCUCCGACCAUCCUCAGGAACCCGUUGGGACUACCUCACCCGCUGGUCAUGGAGGAAUGACUUCCCCUGGUGGCCUGGACUCUUUCCUGGGUUCCUGGUGAACCGAGGACUUAUUGCAGGAAACUAAGGACCUCCUAUGUGACUCAUGGGCACCAGAAACGAGGAGGUGCUACUUAUCGGCAUGGCACUCCUGGACAAGUUGGUGUGUGGGACGGGACCUCUAACCCUUUACUGCACCUAUUCCCUCCAUCAUGAAUUUCCUAACCUCUCUGUUCACAGCCAGAAAGUCAUAUUGGUCCAUCAACGUAGUACGUUCAACCAUCUCAGCGCCCCCUACUCCUGCCCAAGGGAUACCUGUUGGUCAGGAUCAGCUCAUCUGCAGACUCCUCCGCGGCAUGCGCCUUUGGCGCCCCCGGAACCCAAAUACUCAAGACUUUGGGACGUUGGCCUUGUAUUACACUUCUUACGGGACUGGCCUCCUAACAAAGAUUUGUCACUCCGCCAACUUACCGCGAAAUUCACCUUCUUGCUCUGUCUGGUUUCAUUUCGACAGGUAUCCGACGUAUGUACCUUCGAUGCCGACGCAUUUACCUUUUGCCCAGCGGGUGUUACCUUUCAGGUCCCACGACGCACUAAGUCCAACUCUCCCUCGGUCUUCUACCCAUUUUUUCCUUCAGACCCUCAGCUCUGCGUGGUCUCUACUCUCAGUCAAUACGUGGAAGCAAUCUUCCACUCGUCAACUUCUCAUCUCUUAUGUCCGCCCUUACGGUCCAGUUUCGGCUACUACACUGGCCAGAUGGGUUAGAUGGCUACUGUCCCUUGCCGGUAUUGACCAAACUUUUGGGGCACUGUUAAGACACGAACCGCCAGGUAGAUGAAGCCGCCGUUUAGUAAAUAAUCCCCUUCAGAAAUGCAGUUUAAAUCCAGCCGACCGCCAAACUCCCAAACGAAGUCCACGAACACGGCAACUCCCAAUCAGCAAAACAGUCGAACGCCUUCCAUAGCUAAAAAUAACGAAAGCGCUGUCCCAGUAAUAAUUCCCCCACAAACGAGACUAAGCUCCGUCUUGAGGGUCAAAUAAGAUCUGUUUAAUGGGGGCUACCUGCCCGGUAUUUAUGCAGGUCUCCACAAGGUGGACACUUCCCGAGGGGACCUUGUGGAAGACUGUACAAUAUAUUAGACAGUAGCCAAUUGCAGUGGCUUCAAUAUAAGCCCUUCCCAUCUUACCCACAAAUCCGUCUUCUCUACCCCGGAGAUAACUAGGAAGAAACCUAAUUAUCUCCCAAGGUAGAGACAAUCGCCAUUUUAAAUUACAGUAAUAAAAAUACAUUAAAAUACAUAACUGAAGAAAUACCGAAUGAAUAUAGGUCGUGUAACGCAUCCCCAGACAGCCUGGAUUCUGAGUGCACAUUUUCACCGAAUAGCGCUCAGAUCCGAUGUAUCUAGUCGAAUCGCCAUGGAGUCAAAGUCUUGCACCAGUCCUUCGGUAUACGAAUGACUCCAUGGGACGGCUGUCGGGGUAAAAGUCCAUACGAAUGCAAUAAAAACUCCCGAACGACCGACGUUCGCAUGCCUUGUCGAAAUAGAAGGUGGGCAUCAGCUUCCAGCGGUGUUCGGUAGUUUAAGUGUCCGUUUUUAGUUCCAUACAGUUUGUACCUAACACCGCUAUGCGUUCGUGUGUCCCAAAAUGGCCGCUGCCUCGUGGUCGACAUGCGAACGACGACCACCCGUACGAAUGGAAUGGAGAGGUGUCUGCGGUUAACCACAACGUUCUAAUUGGGGCCAAGAGGUUAACCAGCAGCACACUCCUCUCCUGGGUGGUCGUUCGUUCGGUAGUUUCAAUCGGUAGUUUGCAAAUUACACGAACGGGGGUAUACGAACAGGGAAUCCAGCGAACAAAGGGAAACAGACGAACCAGCAAUACAGAUGUCACAGGCACAUUCUGUUCGCGGGGCCGCGGCCUCUUCCGCUUAUGCGGCAGGUGCCUCCCUUUCAGACAUCUUAGGAGCGGUGGACUGGACCAGAGAAUCUACCUUUAGAACAUUCUACUUCCGUCCUCUUGAUAUUCCUGCUUUUUCUCUGCUUUCCCAGCAUUGAAAUUGCAAAGUACGAAGCCUCCUGUCAUGUGAUAAAAUUGAAGCUUACGUUAGCUUUAGUGUACCGAUGAUCUUAAUUUUAAUAAUGACAGGAGGCGAGUAUUUUCCCUCCCUACUCUCUUUCGUUCUUCCCUCCCUCUGUUUUUACAUAUUUUUUACAUAUUUACAACACUUUGUUUCUUCUAAUAUUGCAUUCAUGCCGACUUAUGGUCACUCAACACUUGAUACAUAUACUCUACAUUGGUGGGAUGUUUUAGUUAGCACCGUUAGACGAGAGGACUUUAUUGGUUGUCAUUAUAUUGGUUGUUUUUAAUUUAAUCGUAAGGGAUAAACAUUCAAUGUUUUACACAACCACUUUUGGAAUCUAAUACCUUUUAUAUUCUCUUUUCAGUUUAACCAGAAACCUCAAGGGUCUAAAGAUUCCAUUCAAGGUUUCAUCAUCUUCACGUCAUGGAAGAUCAUCACUUGAAAUCAAGACGUGUUCGCUUGGAGCCUACCUGUUUCACGUUCAAGUUAUUCAUGUUGUUUCUACCACUAUCUUACUAUGGAAUUUUACUAGUUGUUCUAUUAUUAUCCUGCAUUGUGAUCUUGUGAUGUCCCAUUCUUUAAGAGGAAAUUAUGUCAUAUGUCACGCCUCUUAUACUCUUUACUGCAUUGUGAUUGGUUCUCAAUUUUGUCACUCUUUUCUUUGCUGCUAUGGAGUUAGUAAAGAAAGAUUAUGCAAAAUACUCGCCUCCUGUCAUUAAAAAUUACAAUUUAAAAUUAAGAUUAUCGGUACACUAAAGCUAACAUAAUCUUCAAUUUUUUAUUAUCAUUAUUUUAAUAUUAUUAUUUAUAAUAUUAUUAUUAUUACAAAAAUUUAAUCUGUAGGUUUUACAUGUAUUAGAUGAUUUUCAAGUUUGUUUUCAAGGUUAUGAGGACAGGUUAAUAGAUGUUCUGUGCAACCAUUAUCUUUCUUCUUCUGGAAGCGAAGUGAGUUCUUUAAAGGAACCUUAUACCACCUGGUAAAGUAGAACUGACUCUCAAUUUACUAUCAAGCAGAUGAAAUCCUCUCUUACACCUCAUUCCUGUGCUAUUAGAAGGUGCUCAGCCAUCCUGUGGACAGUGCAAAGAGGUGUAUUCAUAUAAUGGGAACAAGGGAGCUGCUAAUUUUUUUUUGCAAAUUGUUUAUUUUUUUAUACUUUUUUUUCAUAAUAAAGAGAGUCAAUAGACAUAUAACAACACAAAAUAUAUUCGAUUGAUAUGAGAGACUUUUGAUAUGAGAUAUUGAUAUGAGAGAUAUUAUUAUUUUAAACAGUUUGUUUCAGUUUUUUUUGUUUGGAUUUUUAUUUGGCUUUUCUUUUUUGGGGGCCUAAAAAAGAUGGUAUGUGUGAAUAAAGUUUCCUUAACAGGCAAGGCACAUUUAUUAAAGAAAUAAAAAUGAAAAAUGUGUCAAUCUCCCAGACUAAUUAGAGGCUUAGAUACUGUAAGGCAUCAUAUAUCAAUAUAAUUGUAUGAUGUAACAUUCUAUGUUGUCACCAGGUGGCACUAUUACAUCAUAUUAUGCUUGACCAUACUUGAUUCAUCACUGUGGGUUGUAGGUGAUUCUUUAAAAAUUACAAUAUUAGAAAGAGCACUCCAAAUCACAUAAAAAGUAAAUACAAACAAAUGUGUAAUAUUUAAAUUCAAAUAAACAGACAGGCUGAUAAACAGACUGAUACACAGUCCGAAAGAUAUUUUGCAUGUUGUAUAUAUUUAUUUAAAAAAACAGGUUAUACAGUUAUGUGAUAACAUACUGCACAAUGAAUUUUAGAAAUAAGUUUAGAAUUAUUCAGAUAAACCGUAGUAAAGUGAAGCAUAAAAAGGAAGGUUUGGUUUAUAUCUGUGAAAUGUUCCACUAGAGCUAGGGAAGUCCUCCUUGCACUGCUUUCCAAUACCUGCUCUCCUACCAGUGAUCUCAUCUGGCUGAAAGUAAUUUAUCUGUACUAUUAAUCACGUAUCUGACAUCAUUUUGUGCAGUUCUAUUUUUGUUUAUAAAGAGCCACAUGAAUUCCUUAGCUUUCUCCUAUAAAUUACAUUGACAACAUAUUUGGGAAGAAAUCAGGGGACUUUUCUGAUAAAGUAAUCUGGGAGAGGAUGUAUUAAAAGCGGCAUUGUCAUGCUGAACUUACUUUUCCCCAAGCGAUUCCUCUUCUCUCCCUCUGUCAGGAUCUGUUCUUCAUGUCUGCUCUAGUUUUCUUUAAAACAUAAGACAAAGUAGGGCUUGCCUAUUAUACUGCCGGGUGCAAGGCCCCUCCAGUCAGUCUGCCCGGACACAGCUCCCCCACCACCCCUGCACUUUCGCAGCCCCCCACCACCCCCUACCCUGUCACAGCCUCCCACCACUCCCUAUCCUGUCACAGCCCCCCUACCACCCUCUGCCCUGACACAGCCCCCUACCAGACUCUGCCCUGUCACACUCCUCCUACCACGAACUGUCACAACUCCCCUACCAUCCCCUGCCCUGUCACAACCCCUCAACCAGCCUCUGCCCUGUCACCGCCCCUUACCAACUUCUGCCCUGUCACAACCUCCCCUACCACACCCUGCCCUGUCACAACCCCCCUACUACCUUCCGCUCUUUAACAGCCCCCCUACUGCCCCCUGGCCUGUCACAGCUCCCCCACCCCCUCCAUUUCCUGUCACAUCUCACCCCCUGCCUUGUAACAGUUUCCCUACCAACCCCUGCCCUGUAACAGCUUCCCUACCACCCCCUGCCCUGUCACAGCCCCCCUACCACCGCCUGCCCUGUCACAACCACCCUACCACCCCCUACCCUCUCACUGCCCCCAACACAGUCACAGUUAAACCAAUGAGUGGUGGGUGGGGGCCCUAAAUGAAAAUGGGGGGACCCUAUUGUCCUCCCCCAGCCCCCACCCAUGAGCGACAGGUGGGGGCCCUAAAGGAAAAUGGGCGGAAUCCUAUUGUCCCCCCGGCCCCCAUCCAUGAGCGGCGGAUGGGGGCCCUAAAUGAAAAUGGGGGGUUGAUCUAUUGUCCUCCCCCCAGCCCCCAACCAUGAGCGGCAGGUGGGGGCUCUUCAUGAAAAUGGGGAGGGAUCUAUUGUCCUCCCCCCGUUCCCCACCCAUGAGCGGCGGGUGGGGGCCCUUAAUGACUAUGGGGGGACCUAUUGUCUUGACCCACCCAUCCCUCAUCCAUGUAGCUACAUCAGAAAGACAAAUAAAUGAAUAGAAAUUUUCAAACGAAUGAACAAAGGAGGGAGCUACCAUGAAAGGGGCAGUCAGUAGAGAGGGUAGUGUGAGAGGACUUUAUCUAAACUCACUCACGGUGCGCAGCUGCGAGCCAGCAUGCAAAUUAAGCGUCAAAAUGCUGACUCACGGCGUCACCUGCCCGCAACCCGGACUAAGACGUUUGCAAAAAAUCCUAAUCCAACUCGCAGUGCCCAGCCACGAGCCAGAGACUAAACAGAGAGCCAGAGGCUUGCAGCAAGAUAGUAAAAUGGCUGUGGUAAUUUUAUCAAAAAUGGCCGCCCGGAUUUCGCGCAACGGCACGGGAUCCAAGAUGGCCACAAAAGAACAGGCAGGGCUUGACGGAGGUGUUCUACAUGGGCCCAAAAAGCCUGGGAAACUUGGAGCAGCACAAAGUCUGCCGAGGUCCCAGGAGCAAUCAAAACCAAAUAGAAAAUACACAACAGUACCAAUAAAGAAGAAAUAUAAGCAAGGAGGAGAUACAGAAAAGUAUAAAUCUAAUUAAGUACAAGGAAGGGAAAACACUAAUUCAAAUAUUGUAUAAGGAAAAAAAUAAAGAAAAUGCAAUAAAGAGAUGAAGUAAACAGUGCAGAAAGUGCCACUAUGAGAUAUAAAAUGAUACUAAUACAAUGAAAAAAUAAGUAAUACACCACAGUAACCCACAAAUGUAGGAGACAGUGUACCUCUGACCUGUACUGAUGCGGAGCAGCAAAGAAAGAGGAGUGGCAGAGUCAUUAUAAUAGUGCUGAUACAGAUUUGUCAAACUUAGCCUACCUCUAUUUCAAGGAUUGGUAAGGGUUUUGUAAAUUGGAAUUUUAUAUUGGCCCAAAUAAAUUGUGAAGGCAGCAUGCGCAAGCCAAACAAAGCAAUUGGAUAGGGAUUGGUGUCACAGUACAGCCCAAGCCCUGCAGACAGCAAGGUGUGGCCUCCCCUUUGAGAGACCUGGCUGGGUUUGAACUCACAGCUCUAGCAUCCCAGUCAGGUUCUCUGCAGUGCUGUCCACCAGGGGGCUUCAGUUUCUGUUUUUUCAGUUUCUGUUUUUUCAGUUUCUGUUUGCAUUUUUCUGCUUCCUGACCACCUUGCCCUGGAUUAAGCAGCACUGAUCCACCUACAGCCCUUUUCCAAUUAGGGUCAACUGCACCUAAUUAGCAGGCUGUAAAAGCCAGCCCUGCCUGAGACCUAGCAUCUGGUCAUUUUGCCUGUUUGUUUUUUCCUGCCGUAGCUUUGCUUUGCUACUGACUGAUUUCCUGGACUCUGGCCUCUGCCUGAUUUACUGACUAUGUUACUCCGCUGCCAGCCCUGACUUCUGCUUCUUGUCUAACCAUGCCUUUGAAUUUUCCCUUAAUCUGUACUGUGCUUCUGGUUAUUGCCUCCUCCCUGUGCCAUCUCCUGCAACUGGGCUCCAACUCCUGUUAAACUGUUACUAAUGUCCCCAGGUGACUGUUACAAUUGGCUAUUUUUACAAAAUGUUAAGAAAAUGAGGAAGCACAUAAAUUUUUAAAUUGUGUAUUUUACCCAGUAAGUUAAAAUGAAGAAAAUUCAACUUUUUCAAACCUGCAUGAUAGCUGCGAGAAGAAGCAGAAAGUUUAACCCAAUUUAUCUUUAUUUUUGUAAUCUCCAUUUGAUUGGCAUGUACACCGUGAAGAUUAUUCAUUAUUGUUUUUUUUUAAAUUUCUUUUAUAUGUAUAGUAUUAAGUGGUUUGCUAUUUUUAAUUAAGUGAUAUAUCAAUGUGUAUAUUUAUUCUAUGUGCUACUAGAUUGUCACUCUUGGUUGUUUUCUAUGGCAUGGUUAGCCAUUUACAUUUAAGAUAAUUUGAAAGCUGAAGCACUAAAAUAAGCAUGGAUACAAUUCUUGUUGGUGUAUGAGUACCAUUCAUGUUAAAUUGAGACAGAGUCCACAGGAAGCAUUGGGUUCAGUAACAGGCUUUCUGCACAAUCUUUGUGCUUGUUGAUUCAAAGCUGAAGAGGAAUGCAAACCCUGUUUUUAGAGGCAAAGUAUUAUUUAUUUAUUUUUUUUGGCCAAGGAUCAUAAUAGCAAUUUGCUGGCUAUUGCAUUUACAUUCCUGCUGAUGCAUAUAUAAUGCCUUUGUGUAGUAUCAUAGAAUGUAAUUCAAUAGCAAUCUCCACCUUCCCCUCCCUUUAAUAAUUCCAGCUGUUACAGAUUUUUUUUUAUUGUUGUUGGGGAAAAAGUCAUUGCAAAGGUAUGAACAGAUUUGGUAGAACUUACAUUUGUUAUAUAAUAUAGCUGGAAGUGAUACACUGGAACCAGAUGCAUGGUGUCUUGCCCAGACAAGAAUUAUCAUAUAAGCAGUAUAACCAGGGCUGCCAUCAGAAAUUUUGGGGCCCCUGACACAGCUCAAGGUCUGGGCCCCCCGGUGCCUGCACCCGAGUCCGCCCAAAGUGCUGCCCCCCCCCCCCAACCCGCCCACAGGGAUGCAGUGUCUGCAGGGCCGGUUCAAGUAUUUUUGCCGCCCUAGGCAAAAGUAAAGUUUGCCGCCCCCCAUGUGACAUCACAAUGCCCCACCCAUAUGAUCUGCCAUGUUAACUAACACCAGUGCUGCAGUGCCGCCGUGUUUACAUUAAAAUGCCUGCAGGGACAGGCUAGACACCAGAACCACUACAUUAAGCUGCAGUGGUUCUGGGGACUAUAGUAUCCCUUUAAUGUGAGGUAAAUUAGAGAUUAGUGCCACGAAUAAUAUACUAGAUUGCCUACUUACAACCAGAUGAGGAUGAUGGUCUGGUGUAGAACAGGCUCUCUGAAGGCGGUUUGUAAUUGUGGUCACAAAAAUUAAUGUUCUGGGAGAACGGGAAGCAGCUCCAUUUUUUUGAGGGCCCUUUACACAGCUCAAGGUCUGGGUCCCAGGGUCCACCUUCAUAUUCCACCAACGAAUUUGUUCACAGGGGGUGGAGUGUAUGUGUGUGUGUGGGGGGGAUGUCCUGAUGUGUGUGUGUGUGUGUGUAAGGAAUGCAUUGUGUGAAUCUGUGUUUGUAUGUGUAAGGGCUGCAAGGUGAGUUUGUGUAUAUAUGGGAUGCAGUGUGCUCGUCUGUAAGGGAUGCAUUGCUUGUGUAUGUGUGUCUGUGUGUAAUGCAUUGUGUGUUUUUCUGUGUGCAAGGGGUGCAGUGUGUGUGUGUGUGUGUGAUGGAUGUCAAUCUCCCCUCCCUCCCUCCAAUUUCCUUCUUCUCCCCCCCCCCUCCAAUUUCCUUCUUCUCCCCCGUCUCUCCAAUGUCCUUCCUCUCCAAUUUCCUUCCUCCCCCCCCCUCCAAUUUCCUUCCUCUCCAAUUCCCUUCCUCUCACCCCCCUCAAAUUUCAUUCCUCUCCCUGCGCCCGCGCCAGGUGUCAGCAGAGCCAGCCUCUGGGGGGCCCUGAUGUGACCGGCUGCUGGGCCCCCCAGGAGAAGAGGCUGGCCCGGUGGGUACAUACCGGGGUCGCAGGGCCCCUUGCGACCCCGGUAUGUACCCACUGAAUGUGGGGCCCGGACGACCUGAGCAGUCUGGGCCCCCCAGGACCACCGGGCCCAUGACAACCGUUAUGGUUGUCAUGCUCUGAUGGCAGCCCUGAGUAUAACUUUUAGACUUGUCAAAGGCUAAAAAAUAUUGGCUCCUACAAAUUGAUUAGUUUGAAAUGUUUUUUGUUUCAAGCGAUUUGGAUUGCAAUUGUUUUGGGGAAAAUUUUUAAAGAAACUAAAAUUUGCACAAAUGUUCUAUUCAGUGUACUGCAAAAUAAAUACAUAAUAUAAAACCACACCAUUUGCAUUACAGAUCGAUCAUGUGAGGAGAAAUACCUAAUCAAUAGAGGGAAAAUGGAGCAGCAGUUAAAAUAUAAAUAUUUUACCCUAUAAACUUAGAUUUUAUUUACUGCGCCUCAAUUGUUCCCUUUGUUCACUAUUCAGUUGAUCUGUAAAAAAGAUUUAGUGCUUGUCGCCUAAUCAUCAAUCAUCUUUAUUUCCAUCAAUAAUCCUUUCUUUUUUUUUUUUUAAAGCCGUGGAGAGAACUCUAGAUCAUAAAGCAAACAAAACGUGUUUGUUUUUUUUUUGUGUGUGAUUUGGUCAUAUAGAGUUUUAGAGCUCAGAAUUUUGGAUGAAUCACCGAUCGUUAAAACUAUGGGAAAAUUGCAAUUGUUAUCUGUAAGUUCCAACAUAUUACACAGCAUUGUAUUGUACCAUUGGAAAAGUGUUUGAUGUGCAAGGAAAACAGAAGACCUGAAGAUAAAAUAAUUCAAAACAACAAAUUCAAAUCCACAGCCAGGUAAUGGCUUCUCCAAAUUUAAAAAAAAAAAGAUAACAAAACAAGAAAAAGACUAUCAUGUGCAGAUUGAAGUAAGAAUGAAGCAAUAUUUACUAUAAAGCAAAUUUAAAAAAAAAAUAAACACCAUAACAAUAUAUAAUGACCUGUACAAAAUGAGAAAGUUAAACCAAAAAUAAUUAGAUGUAAAACACAUUAAUGGUGGGGAAAUAAACCCAAAAGAUACCUGUAUGCCACAAUGUGUGUAAAUAUAAAGACAAUUUACUCAUUUCAUUCACAUCAUCUAUGAUUUUUCCCACUUUCAUAGUUUACAAUAUAGAUGAUAUAAUAUAUUUGUUUUAAUUAUAACAUUUAAAUGUCAUAGGUAGGUAUUGCUUAAUUUCAUUGUUACCUUGGCAUACACCUUCUUCUCUUCUUUUCCUUUAUGGAUCAUAACCCAGAGAAAACACAUGGAGUCAUUAAAAAAAUAUUUCUGUACCUCCAAACUGCAACAUUUUGGGAAAAUGUAUACAAUUUGACCUCAAAUUGCAAAUUUACGGUAGGUAUUCGCAAAAGGGCUUUUAUAUAUAAUCUUAAUUUUAUCACAGGAGGCUUCAUAUUUAGCAUAAACUUCCUUUACUACUCCAUAGCAGCAAAGACAUUAGAGAAAAAAAGGAACCAAUCAGACAGGCAGAGAGUAUAAUAUACGCCUUCCACUGAAUCACUUCCUCUUUCUUUGCUGCUCCAUCACAAGUAAGGUCAGCAUAUUGUGUGUCUACACUUUGUUGGCUUGUCUUGUUAUAUUUACUUAAUUUUACUUAUUUACUUGAUUGAUUUUUUUUUUUCUUACUGUAUACGUAUUUAUGGAGGGUUUUAUCUGAUAGUGGGGACGCUAUAACCCCAAUUGGUCGGAUUUCGGACAUUCAAGCAUUCCACGUGGAUGCCUUCUCAUUUUCUACGGAAGGUUUCACUCUUCAGGUGUCUCAACAUACAAGACGGACGUACAACGCCAGUUUUUUUUACCUUUUUUUUUUUUUUAUCGUAACCCAACUUUACAUGAUACAGACACUGCACACCUACAUACGGCCACGCUACGAUUACCUCAUCCCGACAAUUAUUGGUGUCCUACAUUAAGCCACAUGGGCAAGUCUCGGUUACCACCUUGACCCGCUGGGUACGAUGGCUUUUAUCUCUUGCCGGGAUUGACCUUUCUUUCAGCGCGCACUUAGUUUGGUGUGUGGCAGCCUCUUCCGCCUUCACAGCGGGGGCCUCCUUAUCAGAUAUAAUUCUCCUGGCAGACUGGUGACGAGAACCCACCUUUCGGACGUUUUACUCUCACCCGUCCUCCAUUGCUGCUUUCUCUCUAUUACCUUAGCGUUAAAAAUGCAAAAUGUGAAGCUUCUUGUCAUGUGAUAAAAUUGAAGAUUAUGCUAGCUUUAGUGUACUAAUAAUAUUAAUUUUAAUAAUGACAGGAGGCGAGUGUUUUCUCCCCUAUUGAAUUUUCCUCCCAUUCAGGUGUGUUCGCAUCUCCAGGCAAGUGAUGUAUAUUAUCAAUUUUCUUGUGACUAUGUAAUUGACUCUAUUCACUCUAGAUGGAAAGUUGGGGUUGUUUUUCAUAUAUAGUUGAUAUAUGUAUAGAUAUUCUAUAUUUGGUAGCUAUAUUAUGGUAUGUAUGUUAAAUUUUAUAGAUCACGAUAGAUUGUGAUAGUACCGAAUUAUUGCACACUUUUUAUGUGAUAGUUACUCAUAUUGUUCAGGUUUACAUUUCCUAUCACUAAAAUGCUACCAGUCUCUUUCAGCUUAAAAGAUACAAAGAUCUUCUACAUCAAGCGUACAAGGAUAUUCAGUGUUCCAGUUUUGCCUGAAUCCAACCGUUGUUCAUCGUUCCUGGAAUUUGAACGGUC
rnacentral:lncRNA from 1 species